rnacentral:lncRNA from 1 species
GUAAGAAUUAUCUAUAAGAUGAAUCCGAAGGCCACGCAUCAUUUGGGGAAAUUUUUGUUGAUUUUUUGGCCAAGAAGUACAACCUAAUCUAACCAAAAGUUCCCCAUUUUCCUCCUUCCAAGUAGAAUUAUCCUGUGGGUAAGCAAAUUCUGAGCAAGAAAUUACAAAAAAAAAAAGAGUUUAUUUGACAUUGAAUAAAGGAGAAGACACCAUCUGCUAAAGCAGUUGAAUUGCAGCUUCUUCCUUUCGUCUGAUGAGAGGAAAAAGAAAUAGACGGGAAAGAAACAGGAAUGAAGCAGAAAGAUGGAAGGCUAAAACUAAAAGUCAAAAGAAGCAGAAAGUGAUAGUGUAGAGGAAGAAGGGAAAGACGCGGAUGAACAGGAGAAAAAGUGCAGGUGAAAAACCAAAAUUCAGCCCAAAUAGUGAGCUACUGUUCUGGAAGCCUAUUAUGUUUAGAAGGGCAAACUCGUAAUUUUAAGUAAAAGGACAAAAAUGCCCUAUAAUAGUUAUAACUGUUUAGAUCAGGGUACACUUUAUGAGGUUAUUGCCGGAAAAACAAAAACACAAUAGUUCCUUCUCUCCCAUGUUUUGCCACGUGGAUCAACGUGGGAGAAGAAGCCUUAGCUUUUUAUAUAUAUGUAAGAUGAUGGUAACACGUUAGAAGGAAAGUAGCAUUAUGACCGUACAUAACUUGAAAUUAGGGGUGGGCACGAGUCGGGUACCCGUCCCUAAUAUGAUUUGACUAACCCGAUCUUAAUAUAUUGGAUCAGUCAUUUUGCGACCCUAACCUGCUCCUAAUAUCUUCGAGUACCCGCUAUUCGGAUAUCCGAAAAAAAGGGGCGGGUCAUAGGGUACUCGCUCCUGACCCGCCUCUAAAAAAAAAACUAGUUUUCAAUAAAAAAAAAUUAUUUUUCACUUAAUAUCAACAUGUUUUUCAAUUAAAAAAACACGAUUUUUCAAUUAAUAUUGGUAGAGAUAUUGUAACUAAAGUCCAUACAUCACCAUUCUCACACAGUUUAUCCAUCAAUCAAAUCGAUCUCAUAAAUUUAGUACAUAUUAGAAUUAUAAUAUCUAAUGGACAAAACGAAGUUUCAUAAUAAUUUUGAGUACAUCACCAUUUUCACACAUUUCAUCCUUCUACAACAUAACAAGCACAAGGAUCAUAAGUAUUUAACAACUUCCCCAACUUCCUUAAGGAUGUUAUGGUACAAAACUACAUCCCAAAUAAGUCAAUUGUGAAAUCAAGUUCGGAAAAGAAUUGAAUAGAACUAAUUAUUUUUGGAAAAAAUAUAACUAAAAACAAACUUAAAAAAUCCUCCCCAACUUCUUUACAUCUUUGGAAUAGAGAUUAUGGCAUUAAAGGUGAUGAAAAAGAAACAUAAUUUCUUACACUAAAUAAAAGAGACAAAUUUAAGAGACAUAAUUGCAAUAAAAUAAAUCAAAUAAAUAAAUAAGUGAAAGACACAAAUGUUUUAAUUAUCUAGCUAACAGAAAAUUGAAACUCCAAACACAAAUCUUUGAUUGAAUUGAUGCAAAAUUUGCAGGAAAGAUCGAUGGAGGUAGAAUAAAAAUACAAAGGAUGAAAGGGAUGAACAAUUUUUAUAACAGAGUUUCACAAAUUUUUUUUCAUUUUGUUCAUUUGGCUCAUGUUUUACCAAGAAUAUUCGCUUUCUUCAAACAAGGAUGAGGAGAGGUGGAUCAUAUAGGAUUAGAAUAUGAGGCUGUGAGCCACUUCACUUGCACUUAGAAUUAAAAAUUACAAAGUUAUCAAAUGAUCCCUAAUUUUUUAAUAUUUAUAAAAUAUACCCAGCGGGUCGGGUACCCGCGGGUUUUUAUUUUUCUGAUUCGUAUUCGUACCCGAUUUUUGCAGGUACCCGACCCUAAUCUGCCCCGCUAAGAAAAAUCGGAUCGGAUAUCCUAUUUUUCGGAUCAGAUCGGAUCGGGUUCAUCGGGUUUUCAGAUCAACGGGUUUUUUUGCCCACCCCUACUUGAAAUCAAGUCACUGACGCUUCUCAACCUCAACCGUUCAACAUUUGUACGAGACAAGUCACGUGUUUGUCCAUUGACAUGAAAAUAGAAAAGCAUUACUAUAAAUGCAAAAAAUCUCAGUGGCCACUAAAUUAUUGAUCAGAUGAUGUUUUGACUAUCCAACUAUUUUUUGUCAAUAAUUGACCACUAAAUAAUUUAAUCAGUAAAUUCAUGACCAUUUAGUUGAUAAUUGAUCUUAAUCUAUGAAAUUAACAGUACACGUGACAAAGCACAGAAAUAAUUUUAUCUAACAACUACGCGAUUCUAUUUUACAGAUUAAUUACUAAUUUCACAAAUUAAGAGUAAUUAUCGAUCAAAUGAUCACUAAUUUACUGAUCAUGUUGUUUAGGGAUCAAUUACUGAUGAAAAAUAGUUUGAUGGUAAAAAUAUGAUCCGAUCAAGAUUUUUUACCCUUAAUGCAAUUCCACUCCGAAAUUUUCAUAUUCCCGACACCCUUUUACCUACCUUGUGGCUAAUUGCUUAGAUUAUAGGUAAAAAAAUAAAACAUCCGCAAAUACAUCUCUGACACGGACUUGUUCUUAUUCUAUAAGCACGGCUCCAAAAUUAAAUUUCACACAAGUCAAAAAAUGUCAGGUGUCAGUUAGAGCCGCGCACAAUCAGCACGGCUCCGACUGACACGAGCCUGCAGCCAAGCUUUUGCGUCAGUUCGAGCCGUGCAUAGUUAGCACGGCUCAGACUGACAUAAUUGUACAAUGUGGCCUUUCUGCAGACUUUAUUUCUAUGCCUGAAAUUGUCUAUCGAAGGCAUGGUUUGCUUGAUUGCAGCUGUGCAAAACCCAAGAUUCUUCGUUUGUUCGUUGCUUCUAAGGAUUUAGCUGUGAGCCCAUAAUUUUUUUUCCUCGGUUAAAGCAGGGUAAGUGCAGAAACUGCUUCAAUCAGCCCAGGUUUGUAUCCUUGGCUGGAUUUGGACUGACCCUUUUGAUUUUUUGUUUUUCCUCUUUAAAUAGAGAAAGAGGCCUAAUGGAGACAGAAAAUGGAGAUGGCCAAUCCCGGUUGGAAGAAUAUGAAGUAAUGGAGCAGACUGGCAGAGGAGCUUUUGGAGCAGCAUUUCUUGUUUUGCAUAAAAUUGAGAAAAAGAAGUAAGAAUCUCUUAAACCCCAGUUUUCCCAUGUGGGUUGUGCCUAAGUGUGCGUGUUCUUGUGAAUUUGUGUGUCUAUAUAUUCUUUUUAAUUUAUGGGCUCUGUUUAUUGGGUUAUUCUGCACAUAUUGGUGUAUUUAAUGAAAAGCGGAUAAAUAUUCAUAAUUCUUUAUCUUUUUGGUGUUCAGUUAAUUCUUCAAAAAUAAAAAAAUAAUAAACAUUAUUGGCUUUUUCUUCCCAUUCUUCUUCCUUCUUUCCUUCUUAUUUCUUCUUUGGCUGCUUCUUUCUCUUUCUUUUUUCCUCUAGCCAUGUGAAUUUAAGCAGGAGUAUUUCAACAAGGCAUCGAAAAAUCAGUUAAUACCAAGAAGAAGAUGCUAGAAAAUGCCCAUUACAAGUAACUCAAGUAGGAAACAGAAAUCAAUCAAUUGAUAUAAAGAACAAGCAAGGAUUCACAGAAUUAACACAUAAAUGGUUCUUGGGAAGAAUACUGGCAGAAAAUUACUUGACAGUUAGUUCACAGUGGUUCUGGCUUUUUCUUUACUAUAAUAUUUUCUUGAAAUUUUGUAAUUGAGAAGGCAAAAGGAGCCUCUUUUGCUGAUAAUUUUAGUAAUAAUUAAUAUGCAUCUGGAAGUAAUGUUGAAAAUUGAGAAGUGAAACUAAUAUAUGAUGCCUGUUUUCUGUUGGCUUGAAAUGAAAUUCUUUUGUGUUGUUAUUGUUAUUUAUUUUCAUGAAAUAGUGCACAAGAAUAUGACCCCCUGCCCCUGCUCAUCCGGCUCAAACUUCACAUGGCCUUGUCGGCCUUUGUGUCAGGCGCUUGACGCUUUAUUUUUUAUUGGGCACGGCUCCCGACAGACAAUAAAAAGUCACGUCGAUUCUGACUUUUUCAAGCUUUUUCAAAAAGAAAAAAAAAAUUCUUCCAUGCAGCCGUCGACUAUAAAUUGAGAAACACCCGUAUCAGAAAUGCAUUUGACGAAUGUUUUAUUUUUUUUAUCUAUAAUCUAAAAAAUUAGCCCCUGCCUGGUAGACUUUCCGCUCACUUCCACCACUUCACAUAGAAAAUAUUUCACCAAAAGCUAUUAUCCUGAAAUCCAAGACUUUUUCAUGCUAGAAGCAACAUUUCCAAAGCUAUCCAAUCGAAUUUGUAAAACCGAAAUUAAAUCCAUCAUAUUAAAGCGUCAAAUGAAAUGCUUCCUUUUUUAUGGUAUUAAAACACUAGUGCAAAGUGUUAUAUCUUAAAAGGAAAUUAACAUAAAGCAGAGUGAAUAUAGCAAGAGACUAGGAAGCCACUUCUCACAUAUUCACCACAAGUACUCAUCUCCAUGUUUCUGCGCUAACGUCAAAGUGAUGCAUCGUACACAGUGGCAAGCAAGCGAAGAUUUUCUUUUCUUGGUGCGGUUAUUCCCAUAGUCUCCGUCAUGUCUAAAUCACUGGGUUUGAGACCAUUUGGGAGUUUCCAGUCGAAAUGGUAGAGCAGAAGAGCUAAAGGAAGCUCAACAUUUGCUAAACCAAAUGAAAUUCCUGGGCAAAUCCUCCUUCCAGCACCAAAUGGAACAUAUUGAAAGUGACAUCCACUGAAAUCAACGGAACUGUUCUCGAAUCUCUCUGGUUUGAAACUUUCUGGAUCAUCCCAAUACUCGGGGUCUCUUCCGAUUGCCCAGGCAUUAACUAUAACUCUUGUCUUGAUGGGAAUGAUAUACCCAUCAAUCUCAGUUACUUGCCUGCAUUUUCUGGGAACCAACAGAGGGACGGGAGGGUGUAGCCUCAAAGUUUCUUUUAUCACUGACUUCAGGUAUUUCAAUUCUUGAAUAUCAGUUUCUUCAAUUGUUUUCUUUCCUACGAAGGCAUUCCGUACUUCACUUUGUGCCUUGACCAUCGCUCUUGGAUUUCUCAUCAGCUCGGACAUCGCCCAUUCCACCGUUGUAGAUGAAGUUUCAGUUCCCCCUGAAAAAAUAUCCUGCAUCAAUGCCAAAAUUCUUUGUUACAAAUAAAACAGGCAAGUUAAUCAUGAAGCUAAAACUUAGAACUCGAAGGGCGUUGAUUGAUUUACUUCCUCCACGCUUUCACUAACAUUAGAGUCUAAAUACUUGGUUCUUCAUCUUUAAAGUCAGCGUGUUUGAUAAAAUAAAUGAACCUGAAAGAGUACCAGAAGUGAAGAAGGGAAAAAAUCUUACCAUGAUAACAGCUUUGAUGUUAUCGUUGGUAAUUGGGAACUGAAGGUUACCACUUUCUUUAACUCUUAGAAGAACAUCAACUAGAUCUUCUUGGUCAGAUUCACCUAUGGCUGGCUCUGUCUUUGCCAUAUGCUUCUCAAUUACAUGGUCCAAAACUCUGUCUGCCUUGUGGUGGACAUCCAACAGCUUAGCCUUCAGUGACAUGAGCGGAUGAAGAAUCUUGAGGGAUGGAAACUGGUCAGAAAUGUUGAAAGAACCACAAAGGCUAUUUAUUUCCCUGACUAAUGGCAAAUAUGCCAAGUAAUUAUCUUUGCUUACUCUCCCAAAUGCUGCUCUGCAAACAGUGGAACUUGUAUAUGAGGUUAGUUUUUCCGUCACAUUGAUUAGCUCUCCAGCAUUAGCCAGAGCCUUAAUCGAUGUAACAAGAACAGAAGCCUCUUCUUGCCGGAUGGAGCCAUAUGAUCGGACACGCUUAACACUUAGAAGUUCCAGGGUGCAUAUCUUACGCAUUUGUCUCCAGUAAUCACCAUAUUGGCAGCUGGCAAUAUCAGUAAAGUUAUAGCUUAUGAUUUCACCUGAAAGAAACUCCGCCCGAUCGGCAAAGGAAAGAUCGUGUGUUUUCAUAAUCUCCUCGGCUAAACGUGGAGAUGAUACAACAAUUGAAGGAAUUUCACCCAUCUGAAGGUGCAUCAAAGCUCCAUGCUUCCGAGCUAAGUCCCUGAGACCUUGAUGCGAUGGGGAACCUACCAGAUGAUGCAUAUGUCCAAUCAAAGGUAGCUUCCAUGGAGAUGGUGGUAGUUUCUGGGUUGUUUUUAAUCUCCUCAAUCCCUUGAUGAGACUUAAAAUAAAGGCUAGGAAAAGAAAGAGAGAAAUGAAGGUGAAGGGAAGUUCCAUUGGGUCGAAUGGCUCUACCUUCUCGUAUGCUUUCUUUACGGUCCGCACUGCCUCUAUUUCAACUACUCCUACUUGUUUUUUUUAUUGUGUAGUCAAGAAAAGGGAUCCGGCUCCUCGCCUGUGGAGUAGGCAUGGCCAUGGUUCCACUUGGAACCGGGAACCGGACCGGAACCGAACCGUUUGGAACCGGACCAGAACCGGAACCAGAACCGUGGAACCAGAACCGUAGUAGAACCUUGGAUAAAGGUUCCGGUUCUGGUUCUCUAAAAAAUAGAACCAGAACCAGAACCGCCGGUUCCAGAACCGUUAAAAAAUUUAAAAAUAAUUAAUAUAAAAAAUAAUAAAAGUAGAGGCAUCAUGAUGACCAAGGUCAUCAUGAUGCCACCACAAUUUUUGCUCUCAAUUUUUGCUCUCGGGGGCUCCUCCUGACUUGCACAAAGGUCCUCAGGCUCUCAACGGAAGAAAGAAACAAAGCAAAGGAUAGAAAAAAAACAAGAAAGGUGGCUGCCUGCUAAAUUUGACAAAUUGGGGGUUAGGGUGAAUUACAAGUUUACAACGUUACAAUUCAACGUUGUAAUUUUGUCCAAAUUUUCAAUACAACGUUACAAAUUUGGAACGUUACAAUACAACGUUCCAAAUUUUUAAUUUCAUUUUGUCCUAUAAAUAAGACUUGAAAUUUUAUUUUCUACUACACCAAAAUCAAUCUUCUCUCUUCCAUCUCUAAACUACUCUCAAUUUCUUCAUCUAUUAUCUAUUUAUUAUUUCGUACUUUGUAGAAUAAUAAUAAAAUUAAAAUAUGAUAUUUAUUUUGUAUUUAUUUUUUACAUUUUAUUUAAAAUUUUAAAUAUAUUGUUAUAUUCGUAUUAAAUUUGGUAAGGAUAAGAAAUUAAAUAAAAUUGUAUAUAACCAUACGGAACCGGAACCGGAACCAGAACCAGAACCAGAACCAUAAGGAAUCGAAAUCAGAACUAUGCGGUUCUGGUUCUACCUUUUUGAAGAACCAGAACCGCCGGUUCUGGAACCAGAACCAGAACCAUCUUAUAUGGUGCGGUUCUGGUUCUACCUCUUUGAAGAACCAGAACCGGCGGUUCUGGAACCAGAACCGUUGGUUCUGGAACCAGAACCGUUGGUUCUGGAACCGUGGCCAUGCCUACUGUGGAGGUUGUCAGUCAAGCACAAGUGUGUAGAAUUUUUUUUUUUUUUUUUGAUAAUCGUGUGUAGAAUUUUAAUUAACGGUCCAAAAACGCCAUUGAACCACGGAAGCCACAUGUUUCCUAUCCUUUGCUUGGGAAGGCUCCAACCAAUUUCUAUCUCUAUCUUUUGAUCUGGGCUGUUUUUGAUCCCUUCAAUCCCUUGAUGAGACUUAGGCUUAGUUUGGGAGUUUAUGAAGGAAGAGAAAAGAAAAGAAAAGAUAGCUUAGGAAAGAAAGGAAGAGAAGGGAAAAGAUGCAUAUUUCGUUUGGGAGUUUAAUGAAAGAAAAGAAAAGAAAUCUCUUUCUCUUAUUUGAGAGUUGGAGAGAUAUGGAGAGAAAGGAUUUUAUGAGAACACAACUUUACAUAUUUGCCCUUUCUAUUUGUAAAUCAAAGUCCAAAAAUUAGCUUUUUUGUUCCCAUAAAUAGAAUAUUUGGACAAGACAAAUUUCUAAAACAAUUGCAUAUGCAUUCCCACAAGGUGAAUAAUACAACAAAUUUCUUGCUGGAUUUCGAUUCUCUUGCAUGCAUGUAAAUCGCCUCAAGUUUACCAGUAAUUAUUCGAUUAUCUCAAUCUUCACUUCUUCACCACUUGAUCCAUCCUACUGUUUAUAAAAUUUUUAUUUGUUGAUGGUUAAUGCACUGACAAGCAUGACGUUUGGCAUUUAAUAUUGAAAGUUUUCAUCAUUUGAUUUUUUUUUUAAAGAAAAAUCAUUCCAAUAAAUGUAUUUGAGAGUCAAAUAUCAAAUAAGAACUUGGGACUCUCAAAUAGCCAAUACGUUUGCAAUAGCCUGGGAACUUUGGCUCAACUCCAAAUAGCCUGGGAACUUUGGCUCAACUUGGGACUCUCAAAUAGCCAAUACGUUUGCAAUAGCCUGGGGACUUUGGCUCAACUCCAGAGUAACCACAUCCCAAACAUAUAAACAUAGAUAAAAUAUUUUUCUCAAAAAAGAAAGAGACUUUGGUUGUUAGCAAGAACCAAUAAGUAUGUUUAUUGGUUGAAAUACAAUAUUACAUCCCAAACAUAUAAACAUAGAUAAAAUAUUUUUCUCAAAAAAGAAAGAGACUUUGGUUGUUAGCAAGAACCAAUAAGUGUGUUUAUUGGUUGAAAGACAAUAUUACUAAGUGUGUUUACUCUGGAGUUGAGCUGGUACCAUAAAAUACAUAAACAGGAUAUACGUGGAAUGCAACCCAAGUCAAUAAAAUGCCAUGCAACCAAGUGUACUCAAAAUAUACAUAAACCAGGUUUACAUGGAAUUCAACUAGAUUUCUUGUAGCAUUCAUAUUUCCGAAAUUCACAUGAGCAUUUACUCCUGAUACAAAAUAAUUCUAUCAAUUUCUAAACAAAAAUACACCCAAUGAUCUACAUAUUUUCAAAACAUGAAAUGUCCAGUGAGUAAUUGGAAUCAUCUCCAAUUUCCAAAACUAGCUUAUAUCUUCAAAAGUAUUUCGAACAUCUGAUAACAUGCUCAUGUAGACAAAAGUGGCUAAAAUCCAUUCAUCAAUUUGUUCAAAAUAUUCCUACGACUUUCCGAUGGGCACCCAAAGAAGCUUCUUACUUUCUCGGUGUUUUGACAAAGGAACACAUAAUAAUCAUCAAUCAGGUCUGUCUCAACUCCAAUAUUAACAAGUUCAUCAUAAAUCUCUUUCUCUGAAUAUACCCGUGGCCUAGAUUUUUCAAGAAUAGUAAUACCUUCUCUUAGUGCAUCAGCAACAUUGUGAAGUGCACCCUUCAAACUUUCAAAUUCUUCAUCACAUGUGACUUUUCUUUUCUUACCUUGUGUUGCUGUUGUACCUUGAGAUUGUUUGUUGUUACAUGCCUUUGAUCGUUGUGCAUCCAACUCCUUACUUGAAUUAUUGAAGUUCUCUAGACUGAUCUCAUUUUGACAUAGCAUGUCGUCAAUCUCAAUAAUACUUUCAAACUGCACUCCAUUUGGUUCAUUCAUCCAACGCAUACGUUUCUCUUUCGCUGUUUCAGCACCCUGUCCUGUUGCCCUAUCUUUAGCAAAAAGUUCUUCUAAGCUAUCAUAAUGGUUGAUAACUUUAGUCUUCCACCUUAUAGCUUCAGGUUUUUCCUAAGAACAUGAAAGAAAUUUGAAAAACAAGCAUCAUUUCAAUGAUAAAAUAAAAAGCAAUAAAGAAAGUAAAACUGUCAAGCUAGCAUAUACCUGUAGAAGUUGUUCCCAAACUUCAGGUUCAGCGCACCAAGUUUUUGUGAAUGGAUUCCAAGAAAAACCACUCAAUUUUCCAUUUCUAAAGAAAUCAUAGGACUCCUUGAAGUGUUCCUUGAGUGUCUUCAAUCGAUUCUUCAAAUGGCUUUUGGUAAAUUCUAUUCCAAGUUUCUCCUUCAACUCAUUGAUAAUAUUAUUGUAUGCAGUUGGUGUAAAAGUUCCGUCCACACGAAAUCCUUUAUAAUGCUGAUCCAAAAGGGCCUGAAUGAAGACUUCAUCCAUUGCUAGAGUCCAUUUCAUGUUUUCCUUCAUAAUGCUUGGAUCUUUCUUCAUGCUUUUCAAGUACACAAACUAUAUUUAUAGAAGAAAACAUAACAAGAACAGAAUUUAUGUACGUGCAAAAUAACAGUUUUAUAUUAAUUCUAUUAUGAAUACAUGGUUCUAUACAUCCAAAAACAUACAAAAUCAUAUUAGACAAAAGAAGAUUCAUGUGGCAACUUGCAUUUAUAAACUCACACUACUAAUAUAAGAGUACAAGUUAACAAAAGAAGGAUCACAUGACCACUUAAACAAAAGAAAUUAGCAUCAAGUCAAGUUAUCAUAGUAUAUAAUCAUUCCACAUUUGCAUUGCUAUUUCAUUCCUUAAACUCUCUCCUUGAGCAUGAUCUUUUUCAGCAGAUAUAUCGCCAUUUUCUUCCUCCGAUGGAGAUUGACGUGCCAAUUCCUCAUCCACUUCAUUAAUGUACUCCAAGUCAGGAUCAAACUCCAUGAGAAAAUUAUGUAAUAUACAACAAGCAAGCACAAUUUGUGAUUGUAUUUCAACACUAUAAGUUGGUUGAGUAUCUCCAAUGAUUGGAAACCUUUUUUUCAAGACACCAAAUGCUCUCUCAAUUGCAUUACGCAAUGAUGAAUGUCGCAAAUUGAAUAGUUCUCGAAAGUUUUGCGGUUGUUGACUUGAGUAUUCCUUCAAGUGAUACCUUACAUUUCUAUAAGGUGUAAGAAGUCCCCUUCUCAACAUGAAUCCAGCAUCAACAAGAUAAUAUUUACCUAUACAAAUAUCAAAUAGUUACUACUUAAUUAAAUGCACUAAGAAUAAUUAACUAAGUAUUACCAUUAGGAAUGAUUAAUUUAUCUUCUCUAGUGAGCGCAUUUUUUAUGAUCCUCGAAUCCGAUGCAGUUCCCUCCCAACCGGGUAGAACAUAUGUGAAUCUCAUAUUCAAAGAACAUGCAGCUAGCACAUUUUGUGUUGGAUGCUCUUUUCUACCACGAUAUUUUGCCGCAUCAACGCUGGACACUUUAACGCGAACAUGGGUUCCAUCAAUUGCACCCACACAAUCCUGAUAGUUAUACACUAUGUUAAAAUAUAAUUUCUAUAUGAAUUUACAAUUUUUAAAAUAAGGUGUCGAAAAAUUGAUAUCACCUUAAAAUAUGGAUAAAAUCUUGCACUAUUAAGUAUUUCCGGAGGAACUUGUUCUCCCGUAGGCUGGUGAAGAAAUUGAUCCUCCAAUGCUAUAACUGCUCGUAAAACUCUAUGAAAAUGACGACUAACAGUUUCUCCAGAACGACGAUAAAAGUAUGACAUUGUGAUAUUUUUUGAGGGAAUUGUUAAUAUAUGGAGAAAUUUAACAACUUGCUCUUGCACCGUGGCUCUUUGAGUAGGUUGUAGACCACCAUGUGUUUGCAAUAAGUCACAUAAGUGCCUAAAAGUUUCUGGCCCCAUACGGAUAACCUUACUCAAAUAUCCAUUUGUACUAAGUUGCAUCAAUAAUUCCUCUCGUACUAAAUGACAUUGUGCAGACCGAUAUCCAAUGGGUCGAUCAACAUAACUUGCAUGACUUAGUUUUCGAGCAAGUAUCAUCUUUAUUACAUGACAAACAAUUUCAGUAGCAACCAAUUGUCGCUUCCUUUGUUGAAUGUCAAAUUCUCCAUCGACUUCAUUUUGUUCCUUAUCCAUCUAAAAAGAUUUGUAAUAGGAUACUAAAUUUACAAAUGAAUAGAUAAUUUAAAAAUAGAUUUUAUUUAUUUACAAAGGUUAUGGCAUCAUUAUAUCAAGUACAAUGCUAAAACUCUAAAUAUCAAUAGAAGAAGGAGUUCUCUAAUAGUAAUGUUUUUAAAGUGUUGACAUAAUCUAUAGUAAAUAAUAAGAAUAAUGUAACAUCCUAAUACAUAAAAGAUGUUUUUAAAUGAAGGUAUUGAAACAUAAAUACUAUUUUGUCUAUUCAAACUUUAUUGAAAAAUUCUUCUUGCUCUAAAUGAAGUUGAUCAGGCAAUAUAAAUGAUGGUCAGUCCUAGGUUCAGUUCAUACAUUGCAUAGAGAGAGAGAGAGAGAGAGAGAGAGAUGUUUGUGCAUUGUGUCUCUGUGUUUGGGCAGGCUACAGAGAGUUGGGGUCUCGGUACAGCUUGGUUUGGCUGCAUGUCAAGAACCAAUAUCAAGAAAAACAAUGUGGUGCCUUUGAAGAUGUAAUGUUCUCUUGGGAUUUUGCACGUACAUAAUUUGUAUGACCAUUAUAGCACUCAAUUCUUGUGAAACUUUUUUUUUGCACCGUGAGUAUCUAUUAACAAUGUAGGAUUCAAAGUUUUUUUUUUAUCUACUAUAUUGUAUACUUGAUUAAUUUAUUUGUAAUAACAGAGCAAGGUAUGAAAAUUUAAAGAAUGUGUCAAGUUUGUCGAACUCUGUGGGUUUGAGAUAAUUGAAUUCCGAAUUUUUGUACCUACCUAAAGACAAAGUUUACAUGGUCAGACUUGCAGAAGCUUCGGCAGUUUUAAACUUUACUAUUACCAAUCCUUACUUUGGACUGUUUUCAAGGCAAUUUAAGGCUUAUUAUAUACCCAGGAUCGUAACUUGAGCAGGGACAAGCAUGAAACCUCUUAGGGAUGAUGAAUAAGGAGAUCUCUAAUUUUGUUUUUGAACAUCAGCCUCCGUUCAAAACAAUACUUCUAGUAUUACUAUCUUUGUAAUCAUUUCAAAGAAACAUGCAUUAUUACAAUAAAAGAGGCUAACAUAUUGUUUAUGGACUCUGUGUUGAUCAUUUUACACUUUGAAGCUUACACAGGCAAAUAAACAAACAUAAUGUAUGCAUUUAAAUUUCAUAUUCAUGUAUCACCACCGAAACUUACAUGUACCAUAACCAUGCAAGAUAUAAUCACAAAUCAAUAAUAUAAAGAUCAAGAUUUCCCGCAGACAAGAAUUUUAUACAGAAAGUGAACAAAAAAAUUUAGAAUAUAAACAAUAACAAUCUACAAAAAAAAAAUGCUUUUUCCAUAAUUUUCUAAAGAAGAUUGAGCAAAGAAAGAAAGAAAGAAGAAAUUGAGUCAAAGAAAUACCUGUUAUUGAAUUGUAGGUGUUGAACGGAAGAAAGCCAAGUGAAUCCAGUUGGAAGUAUUGAAAGUAAGAACUGAGAAAAAGAUGAAUCGGUGGUUUUACAAAUGACCUUUAGGAUAUAUUGGGAAUAAUAAAUUUUUGUAUCAGCUUUUAAGGGACAAAAAUGUCAUAUUAAAAAUACCUUUUGCCGCCUAACAAGUUUCCGUCCAUUUCUUCCCACUUUUGGGCGGAAAAAUUUUCACCAAUUGGAAGGGGUCCUAUCCGUUCAUUUCCCUUCUUUUCUGUCCAUGGUAAAACUCCCAAAUGAAGGAAAAGGUACGGCUUUCUCUCUGGUCACUUUCUUUUCUGUCCUUUUCUCUCCAUCCAAAGGAAGCCUUAAAACAAAGGCCAGGAAAAGAAAGAGAGAAAUGAAGGUGAAGGGGAGUGCCAUUGGAGGCGAAUUUCUGUAAAUAAUGCAGAAAAUAGAAAAAGUCCGAGAAGUGGUGUUGAAUGAGGAGUUGUAAUGAAUGAAAUUGCGGCGACCCAAAAUUUUUUUUUUCUUUUUCUUUUUUUUUAUGGAGAAGAGAAACUUUUUUUUUUAAUUUUGGAAACAUGCUUCGCCGCAUGCAUUGCAUGCGGCUAUUAAGGCUUUGCCCCAUCCACUACAUCCAGUGAAGACAAAAAAAAAAAAAGCCUUUUUUGUAACGAAACCCUAAAAUCCUUGAGGCCUUGUUUGGAUUGCGGUUUUCCGCCGAAAAAUUGUGUUGUUUUCCGUGAUCACAUUUCCCUAUUACCUUUUUCCCUCACAUACAUCAAAUUGCUACAGUAAUUUUUUCAUGAAAAAUGACGGAAAAUGCAAUCCAAACGGCCUCUCAAGCAUGUUACCAAGUAUUGAAAACUAAAUAAACAUUUCAUUCUAACUAGUUAGUUUUCAUGUAUAGCUCAUGUUUGACUUACAGAUAUUAUUAGCAUAACACUUGCAUUUACUAAUAAGAAGGAAUAUAUGUAAAUUAAAAUAAUAAAUAGGCCAAGGCGGUUGAUUGUAAUUAACAUCUAUACUAUAUAUAAAACCCAAAGAAGAAAUUUGUGGUUGACAUUAGGGUUAACAUUUAUCUUCACUUUAUGGACUUUUUUUUUUGUCUUUAUAAAAUCUACUUUUACUUUAACUAUGUAUAAUUACCCAUGAUUAUGUUUAUACUGCAUCAUGAUAUCUUAGCCAAUUUAUAAGCUUUAUUAAUAUUUGAAUGUAAUUUUUUAUAUAACUAAUUUUCCUUGUAUUUAAAAUAAUUUUUUUAUAUACUAGAAAACUAAUGUUUUAGAUACCUAAUUCUUUGAUUUUUGAGCAAUUAUGCAAGAAUUGAAUCUUACCAUAAUUGAAACUGGUUUGAAAAUAAAUUAUGAUUGUUUGAAUUCAUGUAAUUUAUGUUUUACAUUGCUACUUAUAUUGUUAAAAAAUGCAAAAUUUUAACAAAACGCUAUAAGACAUAUUAUGUCUUAUAAACUAAUCCAAAGUAAUUAAGUCAAAUUUGUAUUUAAUAUAUUCCAUACUGAUAUCUAAAUAUUCAUUAUAUCAAAUAUUGAAAACUGAAUAAACGUUUCAUUCUGACUAGUUAGUUUUCAUGUAUAGUUCAUGUUUGACUUACAGAUAUUAUUAGCAUAACACUUGCAUUUACUAAUAAGAAAGUGCAAAUUAAAAUAAUAAAUAGGCCAAGGCUGUUGAUUGUAAUUAGCAUCUAUAAUAUAUAUUUUUAACAUAACUACCCCUAAACAUUAUAAUUGUCAAUAUAAACUUAUUUUAUGAAAAAUAUUUAAAAAAUUAAAAUUUGCUUCAAUAAUAAAAAUUUUUAAAGUAUAUGAUCAUAAAUAUUAUGUAUUUUUAAUUACACAUAUAUUGGGUGUGCAUUGAGCACUAAUACAUGUAAGAUUUUUCACAUAUUAAUAGACCCAUGCAACUACACAAGUCAUUAGGGCCUAAUUAAGAUUAUUAAACUUAUCAAUAGUUGUAGCCUUUGGAUUAACCAAGGCGAUAGGGGUGAGCAAAUUCAGUACAUACCGAAUUUAUACCGGAAUUCAAAUUCAAUUUGGUAAUUUGAAAUCAGGUAUUUGGUAAUUUGGUAUAAAAAUAGUAUUUACCGAAUUCACCGAAUUCUAAUAUGGUAUGAAAUAAGUAAUGAGAUUAUGAUUUUGGUACUAAUUGAUUCGGCAUUCGGAUACUAAAUCAGUUUAUAAAAUUAUAUAAUAUAUAGAUAAAUGUUAUUUAGCAUUAGUAUAUAUUAUUAUAUUAUAUAGGUAAAUGCUAUUAAUAAUAGUUAGUAUAUGGUAUUAUCAUGUACUUAUGAUAAUAAUAAUAUAUAAUGAUGUACAAUAUGCUAUUUUAGUAUUUAUUAAUUGUUAUAUGAUUAUAAUAAUACAAAUAUACAAUAAUACAUAACAUAACUAUAAUACUUAUUAUUUUAUACAUGACUAUAAUUAGAUAAUAAUUAAUAAGUAUAUAAUACUCAAUGUUAAACAAUAAACAUAAUUAGUAAUUAGAAUUUAGAUAUUGGUAAUUUGGUACAUCAUUCAUGUUUGAAUUACUGAAUAUUUGAAUGCCUAACUUGUAACUUGCAAGUACUAGUAUGCUCUAAAAUUAUAUUACAUAUUUAACAUAAAAAUUCAUAUUUUCUAUUCACUAAUCUUAAGGCUUUAAGCAUAAACAAGACAACUAAGCUGUCUAAGUGGAUGCAUAUGAAUUGCAAGUCAAUGUAUUAGUAUAUUGGCUUUCACUAUUAAAAGCAAUUAAGUGAUUUGCAAAUUUUUCCAAAAAAGCUAUAUAAGAAUGGAAACUGUAAUUAAAGGAUUCAACAGAUUUUUUUAAUCAUUACCAAUUCUGAAUUCAAAUUCUGAAGUGAAAUGAAUCGAGUAUCUCCAAUUCGAAUUUGAAAGUAGUUUAAAUUUUUAUAAGCCUAAUAACUGAAUUUACUGAAUUCAUAUAAUCGAAUUAUCGAUUUUGCACUGUUUGCUCAUCCCUACCCCACGACGAACAAAAGAUGUGGGAUGGAUUUGGGUCUUAUGUGACUUGACAGAUAAAUAAAAAAAGUAGCAAGUUGCCGGUUGUUUUACUACUAAUUUUUUUAAAUUUUUCUGCGAUUAAAAAUUGACUAGGCAUUGUGCCCCGCGAAAGUCGCGGGGUGCCCAUUAUUGACUGUUUAAGAGUAAUGUAAGAUUUAUUUAAUAAUUAAUAUUUAGAGUGCUUUAUAUGAUAGUAGGGUUGGAAUAAUAAAUAGAGGAACAAUAUAUUGGAUUAAUAUAUUUAUAAAUAGAUAUAGUAAUAUUGUUGUGAUUUGUGUUUAAUUUUUUAAGAGUAACAGGAUGUAAAUAUUAUUUAAAUUAAUGGAAUGUAAAUCAUUUGUUAAGAGUUGAGAUAAAUUAAUAAUUCGAAAUAAUUUCGAUAUGUUUAUUUUUAUAUUGUUAAAUAUAAGUGGAAGUAGAAUCAAGAAAAUUUAGGAAACAGAUAAUUGCUUUGUGCAAGAAGCUGUAGUGGACACGUUUAAUUAUGAUUGUUGGAUAAAGUCUCUGCUGAUGAGCUGCAAAUGAUAAUUGUUUUCAUUGAGCAGGGUGAACAGAAUGACACUUCCUUCAUGUAAGAAGUGUUUUUGUGUGAAUAUUGGCCAACCUUCUGUUAUUUCUAUUCUUCUAGCUGAAAGAUCCAUCGAGUUUUAACAUGAUAGCAAUUGAUGACUCUUAUGUUGCCUGUUUGUAUAUGCGAGGGUAUAUCACCAAUGAGUAUCUGAGAUAGAAAAUAGGGAAAAAAUGUAGUUUUAUUAUGAAAUGAGAGUAGCAAUGUAGUGUAUGAAUUAUAUUGAUUGAAAUGUAAUUUGUAUGAAACUCACCAAAGAUUCAAAAUCGUGUGUUAGAUAAUGGAAGAGUUUAGUAUUAGAAAAACUAAAAGAAAAGAAAUAUAGUGAAGAAUAUAAAUUCAUAAAUAUAAUAUACACAAAUUAAGGAUUUUUAACAAUUUGAAAUUAUAAAUUUAGAAUCAUAUAUUUGUAUUUAUUGAUCGAAUAAUUGUUUUUUGAAUCAAUAAAUAUUGGAUUGAUUUAUUUUUAAGUUUAUAUAUAUUAGAUACAUGUCAAGUACGUAUGAUUUUCAUUCAUUUGUAUUAAUACGAAAUACCAUAAUCAAUUUACAUAUUUGACUGGAUACACAUAGAAUUUGUAUUCAGUUGCAUAUAUUAGAUGCACACAAAAUUUUUAGCGAUUUGCAUAUUUUUUUCAUAUUUAAUAUUUUUACUAAUAUAUACAUUUUGAAGAAAAUUAAUUAAAUUUAUAUACAUUAAAUACAUGUUAAGUACAUAUGAUUUUCAUUGAUUUGUAUUAAUACGAAACAACAUAAUUAAUUUAUAUAUACUGAUUGGAUACACAUAGAAUUUUUAUUCAUUUGCAUAUAUUAGAUGUACCUAGGAUUUUUAAGAAUUUGCAUUUUUUUCAUAUUUAAUAUUUUUGCUAAUAUAUAUUUUGGAGAAAAUUAAUAAAUAAGCAAAAAAAAAACAUAAAAAGAAGGCUAUUGUAUGCAUUAGAUGUGCAUAGCAUUUUUAGUGAUUUGUGUAUUUUUUUAAUAGUUAAUAUUUUUUGUCAAUAUACAUACUUUCGACAAAAUUAAUAAAUAAGCGGACAAUUAUAAAGAAGGAGAGAAAAUUAUAAAUAUAGAAAUAGUCUCAAAAUUAUAAUUAUUUGACAUAAAUAACACUUAUUAUAUGUUAAUACAAGCUAGUAUUAUUAAUUUAUAUAUAUUGGAUAUAUGUUAAACAUAUAUAAUUUUCAUUGAUCUGCAUUAAUACAAAACAACAUAAUCGAUUUAUAUAUAUUGAUUAGAUACAUAUAGAAUUUUUAUUCGUUAGUAUGUAUUAGAUAUACAAAGGAUUUUUAGUGACCUGUGUAAUUUUUUGAUAUUUAAUAUUUUUUUUCAAUACACACACUUUUGACAAAGUUAAUAAAUAAGUGAGUUAAUAAAUAAGCGUAUAAAUAUAAAGAAGGGCGGAAAAUUAUAAACAUAGAAAUAGUGUCGAAUUAUAAUUAUUUCACAUAAAUAACACUUAUUAUAUGUUAAUACAAAGUAGUAUUAUUAAUUUAUAUAUAUUAGAUGCAUGCUAAUCAUAUAUGAUUUUCAUUGAUCUGCAUUAAUACAAAACACCAUAAUCGAUUUGUAUAUAUUGAUUAGAUAUAUAUAGAAUUUUUAUUUGUUUGUAUGUAUUAGAUGUACAUAGGAUUUUUAGCGACUUGCAUAUUUUUUUGAUAUUUAAUACAAAACAUCAUAAUUGAUUUAUAUAUACUAAUUGGAUACACAUAGAAUUUUUAUUCAUUUGCAUAUAUUAGAUGUACGUAGGAUUUUUAAGAAUUUGCAUUUUUUCCAUAUUUAAUAUUUUUGCUAAUAUAUAUUUUGGAGAAAACUAAUAAAUAAGAGAAUAUACAUAAAAAGAGCGCUAUUUUAUGUAUUAGAUGUGCAUAUUUUUAAUAGUUAAUAUUUUUGUCAAUAUACACACUUUUGACAAAAUUAAUUAAUAAGCGAGUUAAUAAAUAAGCGGAUAAAUAUAAAGAAGGAGAGAAAAUUAUAAAUAUAGAAAUAGUCUCGAAAUUAUAAUUAUUUGAUAAAAAAACACUUAUUAUAGGUUAAUACAAGGCAGUAUUAUUAAUUUAUAUACAUUAGAUAUAGGUUAAACACAUAUAAUUUUCAUUGACCUGCAUUAAUACAAAACAACAUAAUCAAUUUAUAUAUAUUGAUUAGAUACAUAUAGAAUUUUUAUUCGUUAGUAUGUAUUAGAUAUACAUAGGAUUUUUAGUGACCUGCGUAAUUUUUUGAUAUUUAAUAUUUUUUUAGUCUCAAAAAAUAGUCUCGAAAAUGCAAAAGCUUUAAAUUAAUAAUUUAGUAGUUAACAAAUAUUAUGGAAGUUUCAUUUUUGAAAUAGAGGGAAAUUAUCCUAUAUUUUUAAAAACAAUUGGUCAUAUUAAUGGAAGCUAAUACAAAGCGGCACAAUUGAUUUAUAUUUAUUAGAUACACACAAAAUUUCUGUCGAUAUAUAUAUUUUCUAAAAAAUCAUUAUUUUUGUCGACAUAUAUAUUUUGGAGAAAAUGAACAUAUAUAUAUAUAUAUAUAAAGGCACACAAAUAGGAUGCAAGAAUAUAUAUAGAUUUGGAUAGCCCAAAAAAAUCGCGUCUGCAUUAAGGAAUGGAAGGUAGCAGCUACACAACUGCAACAAACAAAAGUAAAGAAACAAUAAUUAAGAGAGAAUAUCAUCGAAGCAACAUCUUUAUUAUUCAAUGUGUGUAUCUUGUUUCUUGUAUAUAAAUUAACAAUGUGAUAUCGAAGCAACAUAUAUAAAUUAAAGAUUUUUAACAAUGUGAUAUUAGAAAUUAAGAAAUCAUAUAUUUGUAUUUAUUAAUCGAAUAAUCAUUUUUGUAUUCUAUGAGUAUUAGAUCGAUUGAUUUGUAAAUAAAUGUUGCUGGAAAGAAUAGUACUUGCAUUAAUUUUUUGGAAAUUAAUAAGAUUCUAAAAUUUAAAGAUAACACAAUUUCAAAGAGUCCGUUAGUUUAUUGAUAUCAAAAAUUAAUAAUGCUUGAUUGAAUAGCAUAUGUGAAAAAAUAUUUAUUUAAUCAUGAAGCAAUUUAUUUAUUGAUCAAUCAAUAUCUUACUCAAUUUUUUUGGGAAUUAAUAAGAUUCUAAAAUUUAAAGAUAACACAAUUUUGAAGAGUUCGUUAGUUCAUUGAUAUUGAAAAUUAAUAAUGUUUGAUUGAAUAGCAUAUAUGAAUAAAUAUUUAUUUAAUCAUGAAGCAAUUUAUUUAUUGAUGAAUUAAUAUCUCAUUCAAAAUCAAUGAAUAGAUAAUGUACCACAUAGAAUUUAUAUUGUUCUGCAUAUAUUAGAUGCACACAGAAUUUUUAUUGAUUUGUAUAUUUUUUAGAAAAUUAAUAUCUUUGCUAAUAUAUAUAUUUUGGAGAAAGCUAAUAAAUAUAAAAGAGCAGAGGAAAUUAUAUUUUGAAGAAGGAGAAAGUUAAAGAAGGAAGUUAAUAAAUCAAAUCGAUAAAUUAAUAUAUUUUUGUCAAUAAAGUUAGAUAACAAUUGCAGCAGCGGAAGAUGCACAAGAAAUAAAUAUAAAAGAGCAGAGGAAAUUAUAUUUUGAAGAAGGAGAAAGUUAAAAAAGGAAGUUAAUAAAUCAAAUCGAUAAAUUAAUAUAUUUUUGUCAAUAAAGUUAGAUAACAAUUGCAGCAGCGGAAGAUGCACAAGAAACAAAAGGACAAAACUGUUAGAUAACAAUUGCAGCAGCAGCCGAAGGAUGGAUAGCAAACAAAAGGACAAAAUUGAGCAUAAAAUUACAAAGAAACCAGGACAAGGACACAAUUGGAAGAAGGCAACAAAAGCAGAAAUGAGCAAAAAGGCACCAGCAGCCAAAGGGGCUGCACGGAAGCUUGGAAAGGACCAAAAAGGACGAAAUCAGCUGGAGAAUCACAUUGAAACCAAGACAAUCAACUGUAGCUGGAGCUUCGGCGCUUUGUGUAAUUUAAGAUAAGAUAAGAUAAGAUAAGAUGUGGUAAGCGACAGGAAUCAGCCCGAAUGGAUACGGGGCAAGAGCGGUCGUCAACGACCGCUCCCGAACGGUCUCCUCACAGAAAGAAAGGUAAGGCCAGAAAUAAACCACGUCAAAAGGCUUUAGUUUGGCCCAAAACGACGUCGUUUUAUUAAGUGAGACAGUCAAAAAAAUGGUUAUGCUCUGCUGACCGUAACGGCAAGAAACGGAACGUUAUGACCACUAGUAAGCAAAGUCCCGCCCAAAGCGAAAGGUUGAAAAUGAAAAGGCGCAUUUAGACUCCCACCUAAACCAGACGAAGCAGUUGCAUGCGAAAAGCCACGAAGGGAGAAAUAAGAGGGGAAAAUACGAGAUUGGCAACACUCUCCGGCGUGACAUUGCGAAAAGCUGUGGAAGUGCAACAUUGGAUACUGAAAAAAUAGCAAGGAGAAGCAAGAAGUGGUGGAGUGGUGGACAAAUUUCUGGUGAUUCGGAUUAUUAUAAGAAGAAGAAAGGUGAACCCAAGGUUGAAGAGUGGAAGAUCGUAGGCGCGGGAGUAGUGAACGACCGAAAAUCAGUCAAGUAUUCAAAUUUUUUUGAGGCCUACGAUGAUACAGUAACGUGUGUGAUUUGACAUGCUUGUUGAAGGACCUUACUUGUGGAUGUUGUUGGCGUACAGUAGGAUGAUCGCUUAGAGGGUAAUCACGUGAGCAGAAUUUUGUGUAUAGUAAUGAGUAAGUUCAGCAUGAUAGGAGUAUUAUGAGUUAGUUUUUGAACAUGACAGAGUGAGAGUGGGAAAGAAGGGGGAAAUCAUGCGGUACAACUGCUUGAGAAAAUGUGUGCAUGGGUUCGGGAGUUAGUAUUGAAAAAAUGGGUGCAGAUUAUAAUUAGUAUGCGGUAAGUAGGUAGUACAACGCAUUGAGUGUAGCAUACACUGCUACAUUCGUUGUUAUGCAUAAACACAAAACUGGAGAAGUAAUGCAAGUUGUGGAUCAACGGGAACAUGACAGAAAUAGAAUAAAAAUGUUAUCAUGAAAUUGGGAUGGCGUUUUUGGGUCUUGAAUGGUGUAAGUUUAUUGUAUUAGUUCGUGUGCACGAACACAGUGUUGGAUAAUUGUUACAUGUUGUGGUUGAAUAGGUACAUAGAAAUAAUAGAGUUCAAAUGUUUUGUACUGAGUUGUGCGUCUCAUACUUGCUAAUGGAAAUGUUAUUUUGAAAUUGAGAUGUCCUAUUUGGGUCUUGAUUGGUGUAAGUUUAUUGUAUUAGGGCGUGCGCAUGAACACAGUGUUGGAUAAUUGUUACAUGUUGUGGUUUAACAGGUACAGAGAAAUAACAGAGUUUUAAUGUUUUGUACUCAGUUGUGCUUCUCAUAUUUUCUUUUACAUUGAUGUUACAGGUUAUUGGUUUACUUGCAUAAAGAGAGACAAGUUUCUAGGUUGGAAGUGAAUGAGUACGAGAGUAGGUUAUAAGUUGGCAAUGUGAGGCAGACGGAAUAACAAAUCAUGAGGUUUAGCAUAGUCAGUGUGGAAUAACGGUUAAGAAUCUUACUAGUUAUUGUAGGUGCACAUCAUGUUGGAUAGUCAUUACACGCAGUCAUUUAGUAGUGACACUAGCAGAAGUGCACUGUAAAAUUGGAUGAACAUACACGUAAAAUUGUUUAACGGGUUUGUUGCUUCAUUCAUAUUGUUGAAGAGGGUGAUAAAUAAAGGAGAAUGUGAUUGAAUUGAACUUGAUAGGCAGGGAAAUAGAUUAUGAAAUGACUAAAUGAGGGAUAAUUAACCAGAAAAUUUGGUAUUGAGACAAACAAAUUGUGAAAAGGAAGAUUACUUGUACCAUAAUUGUUGUGGUUGGACAUCAUCUUUGAUAGUUGUUACACGUAAUAGAUCAGAAGUUACAAUAAUAGAACUGGCGUAUAGAAUUUCAUGAAAAUACUAUAAAUUUGGAUGGCCCCUUUGGUAUUGUACAGUAGCAUAAUAAAUAGAAGAAGAAAUUGAUGGAUGAAGUACAAUCUGAUAGGUAGAACAACAGAUUAUGUAGAUUAGUGGCAGUUGGAAUAAAUAAUAAACUGUGAAGAAUGAGUUACUGAGUGUGAGAAAAAAUGUUACAGGUUGUACUAUAACUAGCGUGACUAAUAUUUGAUGCUCAUAUAUUAUGUUUAGCAGUACUUCAUGAUAUGUUAUGACUGUGGCUGGAAAAAAAAUUUUGGAACUGAAGUGCAAUAUGUUUGUUAAAAACAUUAGUUUACAUGGCAAGAACGCGAGCAGGAAGCACACUUCAGGAAGCAGACAGAGAAGAACUCGCCGAAACAAGUGGUGGUACAGAACACGGUGCAGCACCCACUUCAUCGAAUAGGUAAGUGGCCAGUGCUUGCGUAAGGUCUUGGCAGGUUAGACUUGGCAUCAUUAUAAUGCAUUACAAUGUUGACUGUUCAGGGGCAGGAUGGGAAGGAAAAGAAGCAGUAAAAGGAAUGAUCGUUUAGGUGGGGAGGAAGAACUGAUUACAGCGGGAACAAGCGAGGUCGCAGAACCAGUCCCACCAUUGAAUCCAUGGAUGAAGUUCAGGUAAGAUUAUUGAAUAUGAGGAAAAAAAUAAUGGUACUAAAUAGCACAUAUAACUUUGGAGUUUUGAAUGUGGACAGGAAAGAGUAUCAACACACGGUUUCGGCGAAGGGUGUUAAGCUGACCGAGGUAUGCUGUCCUAGCAAAAUAAACUGAAGAAUCAUUGAACUGAUGGGGUGCCUAAGGGAAAAAUAGUGAAACGAGCAAUUAUUUUGUGUUUAGUCUAACGUGUUUUUUGACUUUAUUUAUUCAAUGCAGUACAAUGACAUUGCCCGGGCAGCAUAUAAUAAGUUGAGUGAGGAAGAAAUGAGGAAGCGAAAGGAGGAGUAUUUGAAAGAGAAAGAAGAGUAUGAGAAAGAAAUGGAACGUCUAGGAAAGCCGAUAUUGCGAAAAGCACGGGUUCAAAUCAAGGUAAAUACACGGCAUGAUUCAUCAAACAUUUAAUGAAACUUAUAUUAGUCUAAUGCAUAUAUCUAAAAAAUGGUGUAGAAUCAGAAGUACACUAUCCGAUGCUCGCCAAAGCAGAUGUCAAGUUUAGUUUCACGAAUCGAUGAAACUAAGAAGCAGCAGAUUAGAGACAUAGGAUUUGGAGGGCUGCUAGACAUACAGUGUCACUGGAUUCCUAGUGGCAUAGCUACCUGGCUUGUUGACAACUUUAAUCCGACAUUGAGCAGUUUAAAUGUACAUGGAGAUGGUGUGCUACCUUUAACGUCAAAGGAUAUCAGUUUAAUCCUGGGGAUCCCGAACGAAGGUCCCGUUCCAGUUGAAGACACCGAUACAACCGAGGUUGGGGGAACUGGACCAAGUCGUAGGACAUACAAAUGGAAUGAGCUCCCAAAUGAGUUGGUAGCCAUGAAUGCAGGGGAAGAAUUCUUAAGACUAUUCGUGGCAUUUUCUUGUGGAUGUCUACUGGCUCCAACCACUAGAGCCGAGCACAAAAUAAAGGUUUGGAACUGUACGCAAUUGGUUGAUAGGGUAGCCAGAUUGAACUGGGCUGAGUAUGUGAGGAUCGUACUAUGCAAUAAGGUGCUAGAGGUGCAAAAGAAAAGUGAAAAGCAGCACCAAUACGUUGGCGGUUGUAUCUUCGUUCUGCUGGUAAGAUUAGAUAGUUGUAGUCAUGACGAAAAUAUGCUCUAAUUGUUACACAGUGCACCAGAGAGUCAAUUAGUUUUGCGUGCCUUCAUAACUACUGUCUGUAUUUCCACAUUUUAUCAAAUUCAGUGCGAUGGAUUGAUUAGAUUAUGCUCAAAUGAAUGCGUCUACGAUGAUGUUUUAACAGUGUGGUCAAGUUUAUCUACAGUUGAAUUAAUUACUGUAUUGUAUUGCAGAUUCAUUAUCUUGAUCGGGUACAAAUACUGAAGCAUAAAGUGUCGAGGACUACUCCGCGAGCUAAGGCAUGGACAGAUGCUCUGAUCUCUGAAAGGGAUGCACUUGAGAUUAAAAAUCUUGGAGCUUAUGGAAAAGGAAAACUGGUAAAAUGUUAUAUAUUAUUGAUCUCAUUUCAUAUAAAAGGUAGUGGUCUAUGUAUUGCGUGGCUUUUCUAUUGAAAUGGUUGGUUUAAUUUGUUGUUAAAGAUUGGACAAUAUGAUCCGGAAGAUAAUGAAUAUGAUGGGCAGAGUACUGAACUACCCCCUGAUUUGGUAGGAAUGCUGAUGAACAGCGGGCACGCCGAUAUCGGUGUAAGUGGGUCUGUUCCAUGAUUUAAUGAAAUUUGUUGUUUGAUUAGACGUAAUUACUGCAUAUUGUAAGCAACGUUAUUGGUUAUUGAUAGGCCUAUCAACUUCAUUCAUGUUGUAGUAUCAUGUUAAUAUGUGAUACCAAUCCCAAUAUUACAUCCCUGUCUAGAGAGUUAUUAAAAAUUAAGUCACAUGAAUGGAAAUACAGAAAUAUAGUGAUCUCUUGGCCAAUCAUGUUAUAAAUGUAUGAAGUUUCAAUGAUCCCGGGUGACCAUUUUAUUUUUUAGUAUAUAAGUUACAGUUAUAGAACCUAUGGCCGCAAUUCAAAUGUUAAAUUAAGAACCUUUGCGUAAAUGUACUAUUGUAUAUGCCUGUAUUGUAUGAAAUUGUUGAGAGCAUGUGGCUCAUUUAUGGAUUGAUAAUUUCAUCAUCUAACUGCAGGCUGAGCUAAAUGAGCUGUAUAACAUUGCUGUUAGUAGCCAACGAAGGAUAUUGAAGAUUGCAGAAAUCCUCUCCUCUCAGCCGAGAGCAAAAGCUUCCACUUCUGGGACUGAAGCAUUGGACAAAGGAAAAAAACCUGUACAGGAGGACUAUACAAUGCACAAGAGUCCUGAUACCGAAGAAGAGCCGGAAUUUCAAUCUGCCGAAGAAGGGGCAGACGACGAGGAUGAUGAUGCUGAAGAAAUUGAUGCGGAAGGGUCUGAUGAAGACGAGCAUAAUGCAGCGCAGGCCGAGAAAGACGAUGCCAAUACGAGGACAAAUAUUGAAGGUAUCCAAGAUCCAGAGCUGAAUGAAGAUGUAAUGGACGUGGAGAAUCCAAUUCCUACCUCAUCAGUCGUACCCGAUAACAUCAGUCGCGGAUUGGAACAAGGGACCACCAUGACAACAACUGCGCAAGGAAGCAUUAUACAGCUUCAAGAGCAAGAGCAGGAGCAAUACAGGUCAAACGUCAUAGAACCUGCCGAAGAGGGUCAAUGUACGGUGCAACCACCUUUGCACGCCAGUGCAUCGACGUCACAUCUGCUUGAGCAAGAAAUGCCACGAAAGUUGCGAUCAUAUGGUCGAAAGCGGAAAGGUUGGUAUACUGUUAUUAUUCAUAAGGUUGUAAUUCAUGUAGUAUGACUGUAACAUCUAUUAUCAUAUACGGUAACUGUGUUUAUACCAUCAUGAUGCUACGUACACGGGUCUGAACUCUGGCUUGUCAUCAUCGAAAACUUGUUAAGCAUACUGUCAUACCCUGUCCGAUAUGAAACACAUAUGAAGUUGAUGUAACAAACGUAAUUAGGCAUAUUAUGAAAGUAUGACUUUAUUCAUGUUAAGAAGUUAGUGUGUUUCGAAAAAUGUUAGUUACAUUGCAGUGGAAAAAUGUUACAAAAUAGUUAUUGAAAAGUUACAGUGUGUUUAAAAAUUGUUACCAAAAAAUGUGGAAACUUAUAGAUUAAAAAUUAGUAUGUUUGAAGAAUGUUUACAGUGUGCUUGAAGUUUGUCACGAAAUAGUAACCUGAAAGUUACAGUUUGCUCUAUUGAAUACACAACUCCAUAUUCGCGGAUCGUUAGUCACGGAAUUUAUUUUACAUUAUUGUACAAUAGUUACCGGAAAGCUAUUUCAUAAUUAAUGCAGGUGAUGUAAUUGAAGAAUUUUAGUUACGAAGUGUUUGUAACUUGUUACAUGAGUGAUUAUUUAGACGAAAGUUGAAUGUUAUUGGAGACUGUUAGUCAUUAUAAUUAAUAGAUAAGUUACAGUUUCCAAAAUUCAAACAUAACUCCAUAUUAAAUGAUUGCUGUUUAAAUGUGUGUUUGUAGGUUGAUACUCACUUAUUUAUUGGUCAAAGUGCAUUUGAAAACUCUUAGAAACAGUUAGUUUAGCAUACUGUUAUGGUGUGAUUGAAGUCUGUUACAAAUUAGUUAUUGAGAAGUUAGUGUGUUUGAAAAUUUAUCACAACUGUUUGAAAAGUGUUAGUUACAGUGUGUUUGAAGAGUUGUACAAAUAGUUCUUAGGACAGUUACAUUGCAUUUGAAAAAUAAUCGAUUGGUGUUUGAUGACUGCUAAUUGCAUUGUGUCUGAAGAAUGAAGCAAAAUACCUUAUAAUUUGUUAGACGACAACAAAUGAAUGUCAUAUGAAAUGCAUGUUAUUUGUCUUUUGUAGGAGGCCUUGACGUUGAGGUGAAGCACAAGUCUACACGUGCAACAAAGAAGAGCACUGUUCUGCGGUCAGCAGAGUUCAUUCUACCAGCACCUGUGACAGUUAGCCUAUACGAAAAAAAUGUGGCUGCAUAUGCAUGGGAUCCGGACCAAAAUCCCAAGUAAGAUUCUUGACAAAACUAUUAAUUCGAUCUUGUGAUCCAUUCACUACAAUAAGUACGCGUGUGGUUCAUAAGAAGAUGGCAUAGAAAAACAGAUUGAAUAUGGAUGAGAUUGGAGUUCAUAUACAUUAGUCAGAUUUUCGUGUUUUGGAGUAGGAGUAAUAAUUAUUAGUAAAUCGUUUAAUUGUGUCCUGGAUGUGAUAGGGACAUACUUGUUCAAAUGUAUCAAUUUUCGCUGACUCGGCUUGACUUGAAGACAAUGGAAAAUGGCAUGCAUGUGUCUAAUCGGGUCAGUAGUUCAUUACUUUUAGUCAAAAAGUUUGAUUAUGUAUCUAUUGAUUGGAAUAGUCAUACGUAAACUCACCCAAGCAACACUCAAUUAUAUGUUUUGAUCACCAUUUGCCAUUGAUUAGGUGAUUGAUAUGUUUGCCCGUCUCAUGAAUUGGGGUGGAAGAACUGCCAAAAUUAGGAAGCUUGAACGCUACAUCGUAGAACCUGUUGCAGUUGUGAGUUUGAAAUUUGGAUUGCAUCCUACAGUUGUGUUAAAGAUGCUCAUCAUCAUAUCUGAAUUGGUAUUACGAUCCAACACACCAUUAUUAAUGUCUUCUAUGCACCUUUCACUUGGCUAUGUUAUUGGUUGCAGGAAGGAAUUUUAAAAAUGGGAAAAUUCGACAAGCUCUCUGAUGCCAGCUUAUCUGCUAAGCUUCUAAAGCUCUUCAAGGUUCGCAAUAACAAUACGGGGGUUGAUCCUGCAAAUUGUGAUUGGGUAUGCAAUUAUCAGUUUUAAUCCAAAACUUCUUAUGUGACUGUUAAACAUUCAAAACAUAGUCAUACUCGGUUAUGUAGAAUGACCUGUCUGACCUUUUUCAUACCUCAUUUGGCGCAGAUACUUGUGCCAGUAUGCAUAGAGGGGUCUUGGUUUGUCUACAGCUUCGGUGUCUCAGAGAAAGAAGUGCACGUGCUAGACCCUGAUAGCAGUCAAGUAAAGAGCAAAGACAUUAGUGUACUGAAUCGACUGGUAUGUUGGACAAAUUGCUAAAUGCAUUACACGACAUGACAGUGACACAUUAGUGGAUUGUAAUCAGUUUUACAUAAUCUUUGGUGAUAUAGAAACGUUCACUGGGUUUGGUUGUGGCGGCAAAGUUUGGCAAGGAAAUUGACUUCUCCAGUUUCGGAUUUUCUGUUGCCGAUGUCCCUCAUCACUCACCCAACAAAGUGUAAAUAGUUUGACUUCUCCUGUCAUUAUUGUUAGAGCGUGUACUAAGUUUUUUGUCCAACAUAUAUACCAUAACUGACUAAUGAGAAGACAACGUGACCAGGUGUGACAGUGGUGUUUUCGUUAUGACAUUCCUAGAGCAUUGGAGCGGAAGGUUGGCUGUUCGGCUUACAGAGGUAUUACAAUUGAUAUCCCUUUUCUCCCUACAAUCGAUCUGAAAUUGAUUUAAUGCUUGUUACCUCGGCACUCAACUAUACUAAUUCCUACCUCUUGUGCUGAUAGGAAAAUGUUGGCAAGUAUCGAGUGCUGUACACAGCUCGAUUGUGUAACUCAGCGGAGAACUCAAAGUUUCCGGACAGCUUCGCAAACCUGCAAGUACCUAAACGGGCGCAGUUGAAUGUUGGUAAUGCCUGAUUUAUAAGUAUUUAUGACUGGGAGAGAAGGAAAUUCACAAAAUUGCAUUUGACGUGCUUUUGUAUAUUAUUACAUGUCUAUUACAACUUUUGGAUUGUUGUAACUAAUUUUAUUAUGGAGUCUACUCAGAAGGACCUUUGUUUUGAGACAGUAGUUUUAUUUUUCUGGAGACAUUAGCAUCAAUACUGAUUAGCAAUUUGUAUCGUGGUGCUGUUUAUUUAUCAUUUGUGGCCAUAAAUUCUGAAUUUAAUUCAGAUUUUCUGUUGACACUAGAAUAAUGUCCGUAAUAACAUUAACGGAGCAUUAACUGGUUCAAUUGUGUCGUAAAUCUAUGGUUCAAAGAUGCUCGUCGUGACUCUGUGCCAACUAUACUGCUACAUACAUUGAACAAUGUGUAACUAUAGAACAAGCGCCCAAUUGUAAGGCUAUUAGUUCGUUAUGCAAUUGGAUGUAACUUUUCAGUAAAUAAUUGACAUAUGAACAAGUCAGUAAAUAAUGCAACGAUUCAUUUGUCUGGUUACUCAAUAGUUGUGUAUCAUCACGUCAACUACUGCUACAACUCACGACAAGGUUUGAAGUGUUUUAUCUUCAGUGUAAUAGAAUUGUUGUAAUAUUCUAAAGUACCACCCUUAGUCAAAGUACCACCCAAUAUUCUAAAGUACCACCCAAUUGGGAUAAAAUGUGUGAAUUGGGAUUUUACAAUCAAGCCGGCCCAAGAAUUUAAAAUUUAUCCCUCUCAUUUUCAACAUCCAGAUAAGUCUAAUGUCAUAUUAAGCCAAUUGAGAAGUUACAGUAUGUUUGAAAAACUAUUAGUUACAUCGUAUUUUAAGAUUGUUAUAAAAUAGUUAUUGGGAAGUUACAGUGUUUUUAAAGAUUGUUACGAAAAAAAUUAUUUUGGAAAUUACAGAUUAAAAAUUAAUAGUGAAGACUUUUUACAGUGAAUUUGCAGUUUGUUGCAAAAUUAGUUAUUGAAAAGCUACAGUUUGAAAAUUAAUACAAAACUUCAUAUAUAAAAGCUGGUAGUUACAAAGUGUUUGGAGGUUGUUAGUCAAGAAUUAUUGGAAAGUUACAGUGUUUUCAAAGACUGUUACAAAAUAGUUAUUUGGGAAGUUACAGUUUCAAAAUUAAUACAAAACUUCAUAUUUGAAAACUGUUAGUUACAAUGUGUUUGUACGUUUUUACAAAAUAGUUUUGGGAAAGUUAUAGUGUGUUCGUAGAAUGCUACAGAAUAGUUAGUUGGGAAGUUGCAGUUUAAAAAUUAAUAUAAAACUCCAUAUUUGAAAACUGUUAAUUACAAAGUGUUUGUAGGUUGUUACAAAAUAGUGUUUGAAAAGUUAUAAUGUGUUCGCUAACUAUUACAAAAUAGUUAGUUGGAAAGUUGCAGUUUGAAAAUUAAUACAAAAGUCCAUAUUUGAAGUCUGUUGGUUACGAAGUGUUUGUAAAUUGUUACAAAUUAGUUAUUGGGAAGUUACAGUAUGUUCGAAAACCGUUACAAAACAGUUACUCGCAAGGGGAUAGUUUGAAAAUUUUUACAAAACUCCAUAUUUGAAAAUUUUUAGUUACGAAGUAUUUGUAGGUUGUUACAAAAUAGUUAUUGGGAAGUUGAAUGUUAUUAAAGACUAUUACAAAAUGCUUCAAUGGGAAGUUAGAGUGUGAAAAUUAAUACAAAACUCCAUGUUUGAUGAUUGCAUGCUACAGUGUGCUUAUAGGUUGUUACAAAAUAGUUAUUGUGACAAAUGACGAAUGGCAUGAAAAUAAAAUAGUUUAUUUGAAGACACUCGAAAAUGGCGGAUACGGGGCACAAACGGUUGCAGGUGCAACCGUUUGUGCCGGUUGUCCUCAUUUUGCACUGCGCGUAACAUUGGUUAAACACGAUGUAACUUUUGUUUCACAGGAUGCAUUUUCACAACAGAUAGUUGUGGUCACAACAGAUAGUUGUGGGCCCCACACUUGGUGCGGAAAUCGAGUUAUAUGGUGUAAUCUCAGCGGCACAAAAUUUUGAGGGCAAAUCUUGGCCCUUAACCGUGCAGGGACGGUCAUCCGAAAAUGGCAUGCAUGUGUCGAAUCGGGUCAGUAGUUUAUUACAUUUAUUCAAAAAGUUUGAUUAUCAAUUUAUUUAUUGGAUUAGUGAUACGUAAAUCCAAUUGUAACAGUCAAUUACAUGUUUCAGGUUUUGUGUAUGUUUUCAAAAAACAUGUUACUUAUUCUAUACUUACUAAUUAUCCACAAUUUAGUUACUAACUUAUAUCGUUUCUUGCCACAUAUUAACUCCCACCUAUGUGUUCGUCCGUGUUAGCUCAUGAUCGACACACAACCAUUACUUCAACAGAAGGUUAAAACACAAAAGCUUAUGUGACCCAAAAAGAGUUUUAGAUCGUUCAAAUGUCUUCAUCGAGCAAUUUUGGUGGCGGAUCUAUUGAGUUAAGGUACCAAUAUCGGUACUGCCACUGCGGAAAAAGGGCUGGGCUGAAGAUCGUGGAGUCACAGAAACCAACGAAGGGGUUGCUGUACUUCGUCUGUGAAGGAAAAACUUGUGCUUUUUUCGCUUGGUGUCAUCCAACAGGGAGGAAUCAUGAGCAAGUUCAGGCUAACUACUGCCCUCCCUCACCGAAUCGACAAGCAAUAAGUAGAGAAAGCUCCUUCGACAGUCCCGGAAUAGUGCAAAAUGAACCAAACUCUUUCCCGUAUCAUGUGCAUCGAAUCGAACAAGAUAUUCGACAAAUGAAAACCUUCAUGAUGAUAUCGGUAGCGGUCGCCUUUAUGUUGCUCAUAAUAGCAAUUUUUCGCUGACAACACUUUCAAUUUUUCGCCCCAUAUGAUAUGAACUUCGCCUGUAGUUUGUCGGAGAUGUAUCCUUCAUAGGAAACGUUACACUGACAUCCUUGUACUGUUGACUUUCCAUUUUGGCAGGUGAUCUAGAAGAUAGAGUAAACAGUAGAUGCAGUCGUAUAGUUGUAUGAAACUGGUGAAGUCACACUAUUAGUUUUUUGUGAAGUUAUAUGAUUGCUCUUUUAUCUGAAAUCACCUGUGUUGUUCAAUUAUUUUGUGUUAAUGACUCCAACCAAUUGAAACUAUUCAUUGUAUAAUGAUGCACAGAUGGUUACCUUAAUUGUAAAUUAUUACAAUUCGUACGUUCUUACUUACAGUUUUGUUCGUCCUAAGUUACAACAUUCAUAAAAUUAGUUGUAAAAUUGAAAAUCUUUAAUAAAGCAUCAGGAGCAGAAGGAGGUGCUUAUUCAGGUACUAUCACAUUGUGGGUCAUUGAAUGAUCAAGUAUCUUCAGUUUUACACAUCUGACUCUGGGCCAAAAAACUGACAUUCAUUGUGAGAUUUUGUGCACAAUAUUUUGCUAAUUACUGUGUAUGCACAGUGUUGAAAUUAAGGUCACUAAUGUGUAACUCAGUAUUCACAUGGGUACCCUUAAUGUUGCAAUACAGGUCUUACCAUGAUAAAAAUUGCCCAAUUGGUAUUUUAUUUUCUGAUGCUGAUUAGUGACACGACGUAACACUUAUUAUUUUAUGUAUCGAUACUAAAAAUAUAGUUCAACAAAUUUUGUCCAUAUGAUUGACAAACUGUUCAUAUAUUGUUACAAUUCAUAAGUUCUUAUUUACCUCUUUGUUCGUUCUGAGUUACAACAUACAUAAAAUUUCUGGUCGAAUUUGAAAUCUCCUAUAGGGCAUUGGAGCAGAAGGAGGUACGAACCGCUCAUAGAGGUAGUAAAUUUGGGUCAUACACUGACCAAGGUCAUAGAGUGUUACACAUCUGACUCUUGGCCAAGAAACUGUUGUUUUGGGCUGUCAUACCUCCCUGUGACAGUGUAACUGUGCAUGCACAAAGUGAAACGUACAUGAAUCUAAUGUGUAACUCUGUAUCCACGUGACUCUUAAAAGUUGGUGGACAGGACAAAAACAUGAUAAAAGCUGCAAACAUGUGUUGAAGUCUGUAAACGAUUGGCAACAGCACGUAACACGUAUAUUCACUGUCGGUACUACAAAUCUGGCCUGGAAACGUAACAAAACUUAUCCGACAUGGUUCAGGCACUGCAUGUGCGUCUACAGUCUCUUCUCCCGUGAUGUACUAGUUGCCCUCAUAUGCGUUCGUGAAGAUCUCACUAUUUUAAUGAGAUGUUCGAGAAAGUCUCGCUACACAAUGUUUUGGGGUUCGAAACGAUCAUCGUAACUAUUCUCAAUAGAUACUUAAUAAAGUGUCUAAGAAAUUUAAUGUGUCAGUGGGAGGAAUUAUCGUUUCUGCCAAGGGCAAUACCACAAACAAGAGAAGACGAAAGAUUCAUCGAACAUUAACUAGUUGUAUUAUCACUAGUUGUAAUAUCGGGGAAUAUCUAGUUGGAAUAUUAUCCAGUUUUAAAUAGAGCAGACGAAAACCUCCUGAUUGCAAAUUCAUUAGUUAUAAUAAAUUGUAACAUACACCUAACUGGUUGUAACGAAAUCCGUACAUAGUGAAACGUACAAGUCACUGAUGUGUAACUGUUUAUCCACAUGACCCUUAAUAUUGGUGUACAGGUCAUUUCAUGACAAAAAAAUGACCCAAUUUGUUUUAUUGUGUGAACAGAUUUGACACAAUUCAAUGGCAUGCAUCGAACUCUACAGCUUCCACUGCCACGACAAAAUUGUUUGGCCUGGAAUGCGUUGUCCAGUGAUUUUUACCACAUUGUGAGGGUCCUGCGGACUAUAAAAGGGUACGGUUGCAGUAGUAUAUCUCUCAACAAUAAAAAUUUUUCCGUCCACCUUUCAUUACUACACAAAUAUUUUCCAUUUUCAAUAACUUCACACUUCCCAUUUCAUUGUACUGAAGGGUGGCAAUGAACCCGUGCAUGAAAUUUAUUAUUAGUAUUCUUCAACCCUCCUCUAACCUCAAUUGCAGUGUCAUCAAUAGAGGGUUCACACAGAAAUCAAGUUCUUGGGUACCAAAUAGCAGCCAGUAGCUUGCAUGAUGUUCGAGAAGAUCUCCCUAAUUUAAUGAGAUGUUCGAGAAGGUUUCGCUACAUCAAUUGUUUUGGGGUUCGAAUCGACCAUCUCUAUGUUCUCAAUAGACACUUACUUUAAGUGUCUAAGAAAUUUUAUGUGUUAGAGGGGAGGACUUAUUGUUUGUGCCAAGGGCAAUGGUGCAAACGAGAGAAGAGGAAAGGUUCAUCAAAUAUUAACUAGUUUAUGUAUCACUAGUUGUAAUAUCAGAGAAUUUCUAGUUGUAAUAUCAGUAGUUUUAACUAGAUAAAACGAAAAACUGCCAAUUGCAAAUUCAUUAUUUGUAAUGAAUUGUAACAUAUACAUAACUGGUAGUAACUCAACAUGCACAUGGAGUAAUCAAAAUUUGUUGCAUUUUAAAUAUUAGAUACCCUACUUUCAAAUUACUUGUUUGACGAAGUAUCAUGUUCUUCUGCGAAACUGUUACUUAUUAUGUGGUCAUGUGGAACCAAGCCAAGCCGCCAAUUGUAAGUUCGUUUCUGUACUGAAGUAAUACCUAUUGAAGUGCCUGUAAUGCUAUCUGUAAUACUCAUCGUUAAUACAAUUGUAAACAAAUUGUCUAAAUUUUAACAUAUAGGCAAAUGACAAGGUCCCUGUACAAGCACAUCAAUAAGCGAUAACAGCUUAUUAACGUCCUGUAACGUACAUAUGCUGGUGGUAACUUCUUGUUACACUUGAAAAGUAAGGUGACUGACGACUAUUUGGGUAUUCCCCUGACCCAAUUAUUGUUGGAGUACAGGUCAUGACCCCAUCGAAUUAAACCAUUAUUUCAUCCACACACUAUACAUUUGACUAAACGUUGAGUCUAUUCUCUCGUUAAUAGGUGGUUGCCAUGCCUUCAUCUACUCACCCAGGAGUACUAUCCCGUGGAGAACAACAUGAAAUGACAUAGCAAGCAGUUGAUCAAGUUGUCAGAAGAAACCAUUUACUAUGCAUGAUCUGAAAUAGGUACUCUAUUAAAAAUUUCUACCUUUUUUUUCUCCCACCUAAUUCUUUAUCAGUAGAUCCUUCUUUUCAUCCAACCAAAAAGCAGUAGGUAUUAGCAUAGUCAUGCAAUCCACAAACGAAGGAUCACAGACAAGCUCACCAUCAAAUGUUCGGCAAAAAAGACGGAAAGUAUCGUUGGAUCUAACAAAUGCCAUAAACAAGUACGAAACACCAGAUGGGAGGAUUUUAUAUGGUACCAAACUCGAGUUCAGGAACGCUCCACUUAACACCAACAACUCUCUGGGACUAGCUGGUCACAUUUUUAAAAAUACCGUCAACGAUCAUCUACCAUCUGACUAUUUCGUUAUGGACCAUGAAUCCAUAUGGGAGCCUGUUCGUAAGCGAAGAAUGGAAUUAGCGGUAUUUUGUCGCUGGCAUGGCAUCCGCGUCCCGAGAACAAGGUUAGCGGAUCUUGUUAUAGGACCACAAGCCAAUGAUGCAAGCGUAUUACAUAGACUACAGCGAGAAGUUAUGCAGAUGGAGCGUAGGCUUCACAGGUUCCACGAGAUCCAAGCCGUAAAAAGACAUGGUAUUGGAAAACAUUUUGAUGUUCAACACAUUUUAGCAGAUCCCAUGCUUAUAUCGGACCCGGACCUAUCUGAUUUUACUGAAUCAAGCGACGAUGACUUUCAAAGGUACAUACCCCACUGUCUAAUGCAUGACGGCGUUCUCAGGUGUUGUAUGGGAUACAACUGAUAACAAGGGAUGUAGUCCAAUGUUCAUCGGGGUAGCGAUAAAACUAUACUCAUUAUAAUUUAUACUCAAACAAAUUGCUUACCAUAUUUGGAUAUUAAUCAUGCCUGUUUAACACUCGUAACUGGUUGUAACGUAACAGUAACAUAUCCCUAACUGGUUGUAACCCAUUGUGUACUGUUCGUUCUUCCUUUUUGUUGCAUUCUAAAACUUCAUUUUAACGUUACAAAUUAGUUCUCCAAGGAAUCAUUUUCUUAUGCGCACCUAUUACCAACAUGUGAUUGUGACCUGCCUUGACUAUAGGUUAAUUAACCUAAAAACUUGCAAUACCAAUUGAUGUGCCUGUGAUAUAUCAUGUCAAUAGUGCACUAAAUUAGUCAAACGAUGCAAAAUAAAUGGCGUAAAUGAUAAUAUUUUUAUUAAAAAAGCCCAAUAAUAAUUCGAAUUUAUCAUCGUAACAAAAUCAAGACGAUUUAUACUUUAGAUUGUGUUAUCUUAUACAUCGUACCUUUGGCGGUGCGAUCUAUGACAAUAAAUACGUUAUUAAGGUAUGCAAUUCAAUGUAAUAGAAUUGUAUACAUAUUACGACAAUCAUUCAACUGUUAUGGUCGAUUUAAUGAAAAAUAUCCGAUCACAAAAAACACGUUCAAUUCUAUUGUAAUUACUUCAAUUUUCUACCAACUUUAUAAUUUUCUAACAAUUUUAUACAACCCAAUACAAACUAUUGAUGACUACUAACACUAGAUUGGAUUACAAUUGUAAUCCACUUGUCUAAAUUUGAAAAGAGUGAAACAUUGAUGGUGCCUGUACAACCUCGUCAAUAAGUUGUAACAGUUUAUUAACUGCUUGUAACGUACAUAUGCAGCAUUCUCAGGUUGGGACAACCACUUAAUGUCUCUUUCAAAAAGUAUAGUUACACAUCAUUCAUCAACCUCAUUCUCGGGAGAGGCGACGUCAACGCGUAGUUGCAAUCCCUGUGUGUUAUUUCUUCCCUGAAAUGCGUAAUGAUGGCAAAUCAACAAAUAUUAUUAAUAAAACAUACGAUUAAUGAUAUACGAUGUCCAAGUCUCGAAUUAAUAACAUUACAUAAAUAUGUGCUGUAACGAUAAAAGUUUGUCAUCUAAGGUGAUGGUGCAAAUACAUGAUAUGCAUCAACAUCACAGUGUGUUGAAAUUGCUCCACGCUCCUCCUACAUUAUAUAGUAUAAGUAAUCGACUGUCAACAAAUCAUUACCAGUGCCUAUAUUACUCACUUAUAAAGUUAAAUUGGACUAGACAUUAUAACAAAAAUGAUAUAUCAGACCAUUAACACAUCUCUGACGGAGUUAUGGUUGGAAAAAAUAGAAAAUUUGGGAUGCAUCCAUUCUGUACGAACACUUGCAGGAGGCCCCUGAUUAACCAAACGGUGGACCUUAGAAUAAUAAAAAUUAAUACGUUAUUAAAGCGAGCAUACGUUAGCCAUUAACUGCAUAAUUUGCAUGAUUUGACAGCCUUCGAGUGCCCACCAUUACAAUUAAAGAAAAAAAGGUAGUUCUACUACAUGAACAAGAAGGUUUUUAUUUUAACUACUACAUGUAUACAUACCAUUUGACUUUUAUCGAUAUCGGGAGCAACAGCAUUUGGAGGGCCAUUCACUGUCUGACUCAUUGAAUGUGUCUACAAGUUUCGUAUGGGCCAAAUCAUUGUAUAAGACAAACAAAAUACGUAUAUCAGAAGGGAUGACGGUCGUAACAACAUUAUCACACAAUGUAACAUCAAUGUAACUAUUUAUGCUGUUAGAAACAUCCAAAUAAAAGCAACAGUCGGUUCCAUUUUAUACUAACCGAAACAGAGUCAAUAGAUGAACGACAUCCCAUAAACAUGUAUUCCUCAAAUGAAACCGAUGUCGGCUCCGAUUCUGAGACCUACAGUAUUGACACGGCAAUAAUAUUAUUUCAUAAUGAAUGUUACCUAAACUUUAGUUAAUAGUAUAACAAUAACUUGUUUUAACAUAAAUGUUCCCUAAAUACCAAAAUUUGAUCCAUACCGUAGUCUAUGUAGUUCUUGAUAAUCUAGAUUUUCUUUUUACUCUGUCAAAUUUAUCGACCCAACUUCGCAUCACUCUACAUUUCUUCCCACCGCCUCAUUUUUUAAUGCCUCUUGUGACUACUGCCUCCCCCAUUUCACUUACAAUUUCAAUUUUAUCCCGUUCCUCCAUAUUCAGAUUUUUUUUAUUUUGCAAAGGUUGCUCUUUGCUUUCUGAGAGGAGGAGCUCAACUCUCUUUGACAAAUCGGAUAUGACAGUGAUUGCUACUUUGCUGGUGUCCUCCGACAUUGCUGCUCGAGUUGCGACCUUAAUCAUGGCUGGAGCGAACUCCCGAUAACGAGUUGAAAUCAUUACUUUAGGAUCAGCCACAACUUCCUGUCCUCGCCGAUCAAAACAGUCUCCAGCCCGAGCUCUUUUUGUCCAUCGACUCUUAAUGUAUUCAGGAGAAAUUAUUUUUAUGCCCACAGUAUCAAACACCUUCAACGCGUGCCCACAUAAAAUGCCUUCAUUCUCGUAUUUUUUGCAACUACAACGUACACUUAGAUCAUUCCGAUUGAAUACCACUAUUCUUUCAGGUCCUCCAUCAUACCUCAUGACCGCAAACUCCACAAUAAUCGCUGCAUCUUGUUGUCUCAACAUAAUCAUAGCUGUUGACUCACCAUAUUCAUUUUGGAAUGCAACAAACAUGGUUGGUGAAUACGUCUCUGAUGCAUGCACAAGCAUAGGUGUUUGUCUUAACCCGACCAUGGGGAGCUUUUGCCUCAUUUCAUAUUCUGCGAUCAGUUCAUUAUGUCUCUUUUCAUCAACCACCCGGUUGAAAUGUCUGAAGAACUGCACAAGGUCAUGAUCCAAUUUCAAAUGAUUUUUAAUUGCUGCAUUUAGGCUUUCGCUAAGUUGGGUGCUUCGCAUUCCCGCGGUCCAUCUUUCUUUCAUCAUGCACCUUGCCCAUUUAUCACGAAUUCUAUACAACCCGGAGAGCCAUUCAUUAUUUUCAAGAUUGUGUUUCUUCACCAUUGCCUCCCACACCUUAUUGAAUUGUUCCACUUCUUCAAACUCAUACAUGCAUGCACCAAACAUGUAUGGAAGAUCACUAUUUUCCUUGUAGUGAUUGCCAAAAUGUUUCAUAAAAUUACGCCUUAUGUGAAACGUACAUAGACCGUGAAAUGUUUCAGGCAUAACAACUGAAAGAGCCGCUGCCAUGGCAUGAUCUUGGUCGGUUAGUAUGGUACUUGGACGCUUUCCGCACAUUGCUUCUAGAAAUGUACCAAACACCCAUUUGAAAGAAUCUAUAGUCUCAUCAUACAUAAGGGCAGCACCGAAUAUCACAAUCUGCUUAUGUUGGUUAAAACCCACAAACACUCCAAGUGGCCGGUAUUCUUUAUUCGUUUUGUAAGUUGUGUCAAAUGUGAUUACGUCUCUAAAAAAUUUGUAGUCAAUUAACAUUCCUGCAUCAGCCCAAAAGAUAUUCGUUAUCUGCUCUUCACAGUCCAGCUAUACGGCAUGAAAAAAUGAUGGAUUCUCGAGUGUUUGCUCUUGAAAAUAAUUCAGCAUGCUACUUGCUUCUCCAUAUUUCAAACUCCUUUCCCGUUGAGUACGAAAAUAUCUUUCAGGUCUUCCCGAGUAUAUCCCACAUUUCCCAUCCCACCUGCCUCCUUUCCCAUAAGCUCAUGGCUCUGUUUCAAUGAAAGUCCAGCGUCCUUGCUUAUUUCAGCUUGAAAUCCUUGAGCCUCGCUUACUUUUCUUUGUGAUGGCAUCAUAUGCGCACAUUGAGCAAUGUGCAACUCAUGGUUAUGCUCUAAGACAAGGUCAUGCACACGGUACUUCAUUGUCCCUCUAAACAACACGAUAACCAUUUUAGCUCCAUACCCUGUUUUCGUCGGCGCUCGUGUCCUCUUUGGCAUCACAUCACCUUCGUACUUGCAUUUCACACCUUUCUUGCGGCAACUAUAUCUCCUAGACGUGGUCACGCCGUCUUUGUCCUUAUUCAGAUAGUCUUUACGUACACUGAAACCCAUUUUAAAGGCAUACUUGUUGUAAAAAUUGUACGCAUCCUCUUCACUGUUGAACUCCAUUCCUAAUUCAGGGGUCCUAUUUUCUGCCAAUUUGCUGCAAUUCAUUACUUCUGCUCCUACCAAUUAUGUAUCAAACACCCUAAUUUGCAACAUUUCAUGAAUACUAUGUACAUAAACGACAAUAUAAAUGUAUAUUACCAUUCAUAAUGUGUUAUGAAUCACACAUUACUCGUAUAUCAAAUCCUAUUAUUACGCUUAUCAAUAUGAUUAAUGAUUCACAUUACCUUACUUUUACUCUAAGACAACGGCAUUAUCUAUGUACAAAUACAACUCCAUGUACACUAACUUAUACGGACUGUAAUGUAUUGGUCACACGAUGUAAGUCUAUCUUAACUAUAUGUACAUCCACACUGGUGAUUAUAUUUUGAUUCUAGAUUCUUUAGCUCACUGGACCUUAUGUCAUUCGUUAAUGACAAUCGCAUAAGCUAACUCCACAUUUUCUACUAUUUCUACAUUUUGAGGGCCAAACAAGUACUUUCUACUAAUUGUAAUAUAUUUAUUAUAUCAUGUAAUUGACUUACAACACAAGGUUCACCCAUUUAUUAUUCACAUAUGUGUCUUUUCCUCUGCUUCACCUCAUUCAACUCUACGCCUCCAUUUUAUACAUACUGUAUGGUCAGGAGAGGGACAAACUAAUAUUGCUCCAUGAACAUGGACCAAUUACUAAAUGCACAAUGAUUCAUAUCAAUUGUAAUACGGUGGCUAUAACAUGUAACUAAUUUACAACAGGAUGUAUAUUCAUUCACUUGUUAAAUGUGACUUUGUUUCUCUCAUCUUUCCCUAAUUCCGGCCGACGGUUUACUUGAAUACAUAACCCUAGUUCUUCCAAAAACUACUAUCCCAUUAUAGUCCAUCACUAAAAAGUUGAAUGCUCAAACACACACACAAAAAUACGGUACCACACAAACAAAUACAGUACAACUUCACUAUUUUUCUAUCAUCUUCAUAUUAUGUCUUCAGUGACUCUAAUUUCAUCCUUCCUUUAACAGAUGUGCAUUUGGGUGACAAAUUAUUGGCCACAGUUACUGACAUGAUUCAGUCAUGUUACCUUGGUCUGCUAAUACACUUCACGUUUCACCGCAAUCGGAGACGUAGCUGCUUCUGCUAUUAAGUUGAAGGACAAAAUCUGGUUUCGUGAGAUACUGAAUUUCCUCUAUUUGCUUCUACAUUACCGCCGCUCUUGCACGCAUUCAGAAUACAUACAACACUCUUAUACCCAAUUGGAGACCACAGCUGCUUCUGCUAUUCAGUUUUACGGACAAACUUUGGCUUCAGGUAAUGUUUGCUUCUUCCAUGCUGCCUGCCUCUCCACCCACUUUUCUGUCAAUUGCUACCUUCAUCAGAGUAGACUACACCCACGUCACCUAGAUGAACCCAGUAGGAAAAACCACCCACCCGAACUUCAGCUUUCUACCUUCAGUGAGCGGUCAGUCAGAGUAGAUGACCUUCACAAGCACAUGAAGACGCUUCCCUCAAUUUUGUUUUCUGCGCCUAAUUCAAAAUUUCAACUUGAAUUUCAAAAACCAAUUCUCUUCCGUUUGCUCCGUCUGCUCCCGUUUGGAAGUCAACAUUUUUUUAUUUGGAACGGCGUCGUUUUUGUGCCGUAUCCUGCCCGAAUUGAUAUGACAAAACCAUUUGCUCUGCACCAAGUUUUGUCAAGUCUGAAAAAAACCGCUUUACGAAUCUGGCGUUAACUUUCAUGUGUGGUAUUGAAAGAACAACAACCAGCCGCAGGCCCCCUCCUGUCCUCUCACGUGAUGAACUUUUUGAACGUGGCUUGCGUAGGAAGGACAACGUGGAGAGACAGGUGCGAGAAAUAUUAAUUAUGGUGAUGAAGCCCGACGCGACAUGACAUGUGUUUCUGAAUUAUUUUACUAUUUAAUCAAUUCAAUUAAUGUUAUCUAAGGGUUAUUAAUACUUGUUUAGUUCAAAUGUUUAAGAAAAUUUCACUAGCCUCCCCUGAAAUUUAUAAAAUUGUUCAAACAUCCCAAUUAAGGUUAAGAUUUUGAUAAUAAAGUUAGUCUAAUUAGAAAGAAAAAGCAACAUUAAAAAAGUAUUUUAAAAAAGAGAUGAAAUUUUUAUUCCAUAAAUACUCCUUAUGCAUGUAUAUAAGUAGUAUUAGUAAAAGAAUAAAAAUAAUUAAAAAUUAGAAACAAUUAAUAUACAUAUUUAAUCACUCAAAAAGUUCACAUUUAAUAAAUUAGACAGCAUAAAUAAGUAAUAAAAUAACAUUAAUGAUUACAAGAUUCAACAAAACAAACUAGUCAUCUUAUUUAACAUAAUAUUUGUUAUGAUUCUUGUAAUUUAAAAUAAAAAAUUUUAGAAUUUUGCCUUUCUUUUCCCUCAUUUCUCCCUUAUUUGCAUGAAAUUAUUUUACAAUUAUCUCCUUUAUUUCCAUAAAAUUACUUUACAAUUGUCAAGUUGCAUGUUUAGUUUAGACCAUCUUUUAAGUCUCAAAUACAUUUCAUAAUCACAUAAUUAUCUGUGAUAUGUUUCAUGUAUUUUCACCAAGACAUAUUCUAUAUAUUUUUUGUCAUUAAUGUCAUUUUUUUUUCGUCAAAUAAUUUGUGUUGGAUGAUUUUUAAUUUGUUUAUUAACAAUAUUAACUUCUAUUUUAUAAAAAAAAAACUUUGUUUUGGUACUAUGACUCAACUUAGACAUGAGGCGAAAAUGGCCUUGCAUGAUUUUGUCGCAUAAGUAUUUGACAAAAAGACGAUGAAUAAUACUCAUAGAAAGCUUUGAAUUGCAACCUGGACGCAUGUAGCCUAAGUCCUUGUUUGGAUUGCGAUUUUUCAUCGAAAAAUUAUGUUGUUUUUCGUGAUCACAUUUCUCUAUUAUCUUUUGUCUUCGCAUACAUCAAAUCACUACAGUAAUUUUUAAGCUUUCAUCUUCCUGCUUUGACAAUUGUCUCUGUUCUCCAUUGAUCCCAUGUCUACUCUGACUUUCCAUUAUGUCUUUGACCCACUGUUUUUUAUGGCCGAAUUAAAUAUUCAACAUGGCCUAAGAGAUUUUUCCCUCUUCUUCACCUAACCUUCCCUUUAAAAGCAUCUUCAUUUUUGUGGUCCCCCUGUAGUCCGUGUUUUAAAUUUAUUAAUACCCCAAGUGCUAGCCUCAACUAUUAGGACUAAUUCAUUUGACCAAUUGGUUUUCUACUUAGCUUCCCAAUUUUUAUUCCGAAGGUUGUAUGAUGGGUUCAAAUUUUAAUGACCUUAUAUAAUCUCUAAUUUUCUCUUCUAAGUUUAAAAACAAGGCAUAUCAGUCUUUUUCUUAACAAUUUUGGUUAAGUAUUUAAUAUUUGACAAUUUGACAUACAAGAGUAACAGUAAUAUAAUAAAAACUAUUUUUUAAAGAAUAAGAGUUUAAUAUUAGUUGUUUUUUUUUUGAAAAUUUUGAUAACUCAAUUUAUUGUUAUUGCUAUGUUAUUAUCCUUAUUGUUUGAUUUAAAGUCUAAAAAAUUGAACAAAGUAUAUAUUUAAGUGAACAUUAAUCCAACAAGAAAAAUUUUAAGGAUAAUAAACAGAUUGUCAAUAGACUUCUAAAAUUUCCAGCUUAGGUUUCAUGAUAUAAAGUACUUUUAUUGCAGCCAAAUUCUUUCUUUUUAUUUAUUUUUUUGAAAAGAGCUUAGGGAUUUUAAUAGAUGAUAUUUUAAUACAGUUUAAUAAAGGAUGCUAAAAUUAAGGGUCCAAUUACGCUAAGCUUCUUGUCAUCUUAUCGUGAUAAUUUCAAUCAUUUUUGUUUUGAAUCUCCAAGUUAUCAUGUUUCUUUCUUUUAUUUUUUGACAAAUAUUUUUAUUCUCCCCUAAGGAAUAUUAAGUAUCAAAUCUUGAUCGUAAUAAACAAAAUACGCUCUAACAUACUAAUUCGGGAUGGGACUUUAAUAAAUUAGUAAAAAUCAAAUGAAAUGAUGAACAAAUUCGUAUAUCUCAUAAAAAUUGAUCCAUAUAAUUUAAGGUUUCUUUAUUCUUAUGAUUUUCACUUUUAUUGAAAACUUGUAAAAUAUAGUGUGCAAUCAUAUGACUCUAAUUAAGAUCACUGGUUCUAUAUGAGAAGAGUGAUGAUAAGUUAAAUGAGCGAUUUGAUAAGUUGAAAAGAAGUUAAUAUGUGACAAAGUAUAAUUUGUACUAAUAUUUUUUGAGUAAAUCUUAUAUACACUAGUAGUGUAUACACUAUCAUCAUUAGAUUUAUGACACAUGUGCAAAAAUUGAAUUUCAAAUUAAAAUUUUUCAUAGUUGUUAUUUAUCCAAUACUGACGAUAUAUACAUGGUCAGCGUAGGAAAGAUUAAUUUAUAUUUUUUUAGUGUAAAUGCGUAGUUUUAAAUUUGAAACCUCUCACUUACACUCCAUUUCUUUAUAUCAUCCAACCUUCCCUUCCCAGCAUAAUUUGUAAUUAAACCUAGCAAACAGCUUUUAGAAAGAUAAUUUGGUUUUGAGCAUUUUAUGAUUUUCCCUGUUCACAUAUUUUCCUAUAUCAAUCAAAGUAGUACUCCCUUCGUUCUACUGAAAAUAUCAUACUUUCCAUUUUUAGAUGUCUCAAAACAAUUGUCAUGUUAGAAAAGUCAAAAUACCUUUUACUCUCUCUUUCUAAUAUAGUUCUUCUUUCUAAUCAUAUGCAUAUUACCAUUCAAAUUUAAAUUUUGAAUUUGUAGAAAUAAAAUUAGAAAGAGAAAUACAAAUAUCACAAUGAAAUUACUAUUUUUAAAAAGUUAGAUUCCCUAAACAUGAUUAAAUAAAUGGGAUGAAGAGAGUAGUAAAUGGGACAGUGUUGUUUAUAGCCUUAAGCAUGAGGCUGGAAUGGAAAAAGCUUUGAAUCGCCUUUACCAUAUCAUCUUUAAUGAGAUACCAGAAUUUUUGGAAGAAAAAAAAAGACAUUCCAUCUGGUCCUGGAGCUUUAUUGGGGUGCAUCUACAGGUUUGGUUAGAUUGUUAUUUAUUUGGUCAGUGAUAGAGUGUGAAAUUCCAUCAAGUAUUUCCUCCAAACAUUGCACGCCCGGACUAGUGAACAAGUUUUUAUAGUACUCCUCAACUUCAGCCCCAAGGACAAUAUGGGGAAAGCACGAAUGUCUUCCUGAAGCUAGAAAACAAAUUAGCUUACAUCAUUAAAAGCAUGUGGAUCCCACAAAACAUUAUGCUAUCCGAUUAAGAGUUGCAUUCAUGCAUUCUUUCUUAUCAAUUUUGAUCCUUAAAAAGAGAAAAAUAAAAAGAAACACCAUGUCUGCCAACAAAAGUUUGACUAAAAUGGGAUGCACUUAAAUUAUAUGAAACCAAAACAAUGAAUCAACAUAACUACAGCCAUGUGGAAAAUCAAAACAGAAGCUGAUUGGGAUCCACAGCCAUGUGGGAUAACUGCAGCCAUGUGGGAUCCGCAUGCUUAAUGAUGUAAGCUAAUUUGUUUUCUGGCUUCAGGAAGACAUUCGUCCUUGUCCCCAAAGAUUGAGAAGUUAGCAAGGGCAAAUAAGGGUUGUGCCAUAACACUCCCUUGGUCUAGUUGGGUCUGUACAGCCUCUUUAGGCUCCCCUCCCCCUAGAUUAGGAUAGAGUAGGUUAUACAAAUAUAUCGUUGCUGACAAAAAAAAAAAAAAGCAAGGGCAAAUAAGAAGGCAAAAUGACAAGAGAAAAAUCUUCCAUCCUCAACGCCUUUGAAUAGCGGUCUUGAAAGUGAGGAAAAAGCAGUUUUUAACAAGAAGAAAUGGUAAAACAAAGGAUACUAAGGGAGUUAGCAACUCUUAACAUGAGUCAAUAGCCUUUAUGCAUUGAGUAUCCUACUAUAGAGGUGGUUUUUGAACUAAAAUCAAGAUUGAUUCAUUUAUUGCCUAUCUUUUAUAGUCUUGUAGGUAAAGAUCCCCAUAAAUAUUUGAAGGAAUUCCAUGUGGUUUGUUCAACCAUAAAGGUUCAAGGAGUGAUCGAGGAACAAAUAAAACUGAGAGCUUUCUUAUUCUCAUUGGCAAAAAAAGCGAAGCAUUGGCUUUACUAUAUUUCUUCAGGAUCAAUAAGAACAUGGAAUGAUUUAAAAAGCAAGUUCUUGGAAAAAAAUCUUUUCAAUUUUAAGGGUAAGAACAAUUGUUGGAUCCUUAAUCCAACGUUGGACUUAUAUGUGAAUAAUUAUGUGUUGCAAACUGUCAAAUAAGGUUAAAUCCAAUUAAAGUGAUCAAAUAUGGUUUGGACUUAAUGUAUCUAAUAGGGUGUGGACCUUUAAUGUAUAGAGACUUAAGGGCAUUUCCUAUUUCUAUGAUGGGCUGAAAUAAGGAUCCAAAGGGUAAUAAGAUUGUUAUCUAUAAAUAGGGUUAUGGUCCCCAAAUCACACAUAUUCUUAUUUGUCGUAUUUUCUAGUGCCGACAAAAUAGCUCUUUCAUGAUAUCUCAUCGUCAGGAAAAAUACCAGAGAGAAACUAAAGGGCUCUCUCAAGGACUGGCAAAUAUGUGUUGACUUAGAAGACCACCCCAAAAUCUUUAGAGAUUCAAAUAUCAAGUUUGUCAACAUGUAUCAAGGUACGCUUCCACAAUUUUUCAUGUUAAUUUAUUUCUUAAUAAUCGCCAUAUAGAUUUUGGAUUUAAUAGGUGAUGGUCUUCACCAAGGGUUAAAUUUUGACAACUACUCUAACAAGUGGUAUCAGAGUUGGAUAUGGUUGAUUAUUAGGAAAUAAUUUGGAUUUAAUAAUUUUUUUAAGAACAAUUAUAUAUGAUGUUUGUAAAGAAUCGGCCAACCUUAAUUGUUUAGUUUGUUCGUAUAGCAUGAAUGGCUUGUUGCUCCUUUUAAUGUGUCUCGUGAAUUCAAUUUUUUUGAUAUAUGCAUAUCGGUAAUCAAAUGAGGGAACUCUUGGUUGAUGGCCUGCUUGUAUUCAAUUUUGACUGUGAAUCUGUGGAUCCGCCACAUGAUGCAUAAGUCAUGACGUGGUUUUUAAAUUAUGUUCUCUGACUGGUUGCAAAAGCCAUGAUAGGCCACAUGGUACAUGGUUUCUAUAGUCAUGCUUUUGGUUUUCAUGUUUCGGCUUCUGUUUCGGUUUUCCACAUGGCUACAGUUAUGUUGAUUCAUUGUUUUGGUUGCAUAUAAUUUAAGUGGAUCCCGUUUUAGUCAAACUUUUGUUGGCAGACAUGGACAAUCCAAACAAACCUGGUGUUUCUUUUAAUUUUCCUUUUUUUAAGGGUCAAAAUUGAAAAGAAAGAAUGCAUGAAUGCAACUCUUAGUCGGAUAGCAUAAUGUUUUGUGGGGUCUGCAUGCUUUUAAUCAUGUAAGCUAAUUUGUUUUCUGGCUUCAGGAACACAACCAUAGUGUUCAUCUCUUAAGUUUGAUGAUGCACUAGAUGAACCAUGAUUAAAAUGUGGCAAUGGUAGUGGAUUUGAUCCAAAUUUGUCACCUCUAUGGUAGUAACUGAACCCUUGAUAGUGUAAACUAUCAUUGGUGCUACUGGCUGAACCACAAUUGUGUCCAUAAUAACCAAUGCUACGUGAAUCAGAUGCAGAUUUAUCAUGAUGUAUUCCAGUUGUCCGAUUAUAAUAUCCACCAGUAGAAACACUAGAAGACCUCUGAAGAUGGCUAGGUCCACCAUAUGAUCCUGUAGAAACACUAGUGGAUCUCUGAAGAUGGCUAGGUCUACCAUAUGAUUAGUAUUCAGAGCAAUAAGAAGUAGAGCCUGCAAGUGAUCGCUCAAAUUCAUGUCUUGACCACCUAGUACCCAAACUUUUACUAGAAUCAUAGACUCCAUAUGAAUGACCUACAUUCAAAUCUUGCAUGUGCUCAUGAAAUUCAGAAGAUCUCUUAGAAUUUGAAUUGUAAGAAGAGUCACCUUCACUCGAAAAUUCAGUUAUUCUACUUAAAUGUUGCCGCUGUGCUUCUAUACCAGGACGAUAUCCAUGAUCAGUGUCUUGAGUAACAUAAUAGUUAUCAUCUCCUUGACCCCAUGAUAUGCCACUAGUAUAUUGGCUAUCAUGAUAGUUACCACCACUACCACUACCACAAACAUUUUUUGGUUAAGAAUGUCACAUGUUCGCCCCUCCAACAUCAUCAUUACUGCUGUCAUCUUUUUCACUGUUAGAAGUGUUGGUAGAGGAAGAUGAAAUGGAUUUUCAUAUAACUUGUUUAUUCCCAGUACUCUUGCUUUUGCUCAUAGAUACUCACUCCUUAUGCUUCUUUUUCAUACCAGUUAUGAAUUGGGACAAAGGCAUAUCAUUAUCAUUACUUUGUUUUCUCCCUUCACUUUCACUGAUGGCCUUAUCCAACCAACUCAAAUCAUUUUCAUGAAUCAAUGACAGCUCAUUUUCUCGAACCCACUCAUCUAAUAUAUCAUUUUUAUAAAAAAUGUAAUUUAAAUCAAUUGGAUUAUAAAAAUCAUCAGUGUCAUUUUUGUAUAUCAAAUUCUUCACUCUAAGCAGCAUGUUAUAGUGCACGAAUACCAACUUGUGCAACUUUUCAAUUGCCAAUCGAUUUCAAAGUUUUGUAUGUAUCAAAAACCACGUACUCCAAUUUCUUUCACAGCCAGAUGAUGUACAAGUUUGACUUAGAACUUUAAUUGCAAUAUUUCUUAAAUUAGGAGCUUCUUCACCAUACAUAUUCCACCAUUCAGCUAUUAAAAACAUAUAACGUAAAAAAAAUUACAAUUUUAGUUAUGCAUAUAUAAUAAGUAUCAUUAAAAUAACAUAAUAAUGCAUAAUAUAAUUUAAAGAACAAAAUAGUAGUUAUGAACCUGGAAAAGAUGUAGCUACUGCCUUAAUUGUAAGUGCGUUUCCAAACUCUCUAAUUUUGUUCACGAAUGUGUUUAUCUAAGAAUAUUACAGAGUUAGAAUAUUAGUAAUUUUCUUAAAUUCAUAGAGUAAUGCAAGUUAAUAAACAAUAGCAAUUUUUUGUACCUCGUUCAUUGUUUUUGCUUGCACUUCUAAAUCUGUUUCACACCUUUUGAUUACUUCUUUCAAUCCCCUUCUAACUUCAGACGUAUUAAAUUCACAAGUGUCAGAAUAUUGAAGAACGGGAUUUAAGAAAUAGGCUAGGCGAAUGACAUAAAAAAAUCAAGUAAGGAAAUUUUUAGCACAAAAUAAUUUAUUUAAAAGAAAUAUUUAUUUAUAAGUGUCAAACAUAAUUACCUGCUACAUGCAAGUUUCGAAGUAACUGCCUAUACCAUUUGUCAUCAAUGAUAUCCCAAUACUUUUCAUAGUCUUUUACUGCAAUUUGGAUUGCCAUUUUAGCCCUAUCCAUUACCUCAUAUAUAAUGGGUAGUGUGGGUUUUUUAUCCUCAUCAAUCACUUUUAAAACUUUCACUAGCGGCUCCAUGAUUGAACAUAACCGUCGUACCCUUUUCCAAAAUCAAUCUUUCUGACAAAAUCAAGUCAGAUACUUCAGCAGCUUCUUCCCUUCUUUUAGAACUGCUAUUAUACUCCUGCCACUCAUUUGAAGUACACAUUCAUUUCAAUUCAGUAGCAUGACAAAGAAGACUUUCCAUUACAAUGAACUCGGUAGCAAAUCUUGUUAUGCUGGGUCGUAAUAACUCUAUAUUAUUUGUAUAUGCCUUCAUUAGAUUGACCACUUUGUCACUAUUGUAUAUAAAACUGGUAAUUCUCCUAUUUUGUUUGAUAGCAUCCUUUAUUGACUUCAUCUGACCAAUGUUUUCUAGCAUCAAAUUAAUGCAGUGUGCAGCACAUGGCGACCAAAACAAAUGCUUCCUUUUCUUCAUCAAUUGCUCUCCGGCUGCCUUCAUGCUAGAUUCGCUGUUGGUGACAAUUUGUACAAUAUUUUCUUCUCCAAUGGAAUCCACAACCUUAUCCAUUAAGGAUAAGACAAAGUUUACAGUCUUUACCUUGUUUGUACAAUCGAUAAAGCUGUGGUAUAUCAUGUCUCUAUCACAGUACACCAUGAAAUUAAUGAUUGGAUGCUUUAUCCAAGUACUCCAGCCAUCACACAUGAUUGUGCACCUAUAUGUUUUCCAUUUGUGUUUAAUGGAUCUGAUGUAUUGGUCAACAUCUGUCAUCUCCUCAUUCAGAUAUUCAUCUCCAAUUUGUUUACCUAUUGGCCCUUUAAUUCCAGUUCCAGCACUAGCAAUUGUGUCAAUCAUCAAUUAAUAAUAAGGACCACUAUCAGCCGCAUGAAAUGGUAUGGCAUUAAAAUGAAAUAGUUUUGCAAUUGCCUUACCAACUCUUUUGGUAUUUUCUUUAGAAAACAAAUUUUUUACUAACUUAUUUUUGGAGAGAAAUAUGUAUGGAUCAACUCCUUUUGACCCCAACCCUUCUUCCUUGAGUUUAAAACUCUGUGAGAAAGCUCUUUUAUUUCUAGAGGACAAUAGAUUCGGUAUACUUGAACUGCUACUCCCUGCAAUAUAGCACAUAAAAGAUUAUAAUUUUUUUAUUAAAUAAGUCUUCUAAUCUAAAAAUGUUAUAUUAAUUCUUAGAUAUUUCUACAUACAUACCAGACAUAAAAUCCAUAGUUGGUUGACCUCCAAAUAUAGAAUGUCUACGUUGCUCUUCCAUAAAUCUCAUAUAUCUACUUUCUUCCAUAGCUCGCUUAUAUUGCUUUCUUUCCAAAACUUCCAUUUCUUCUUCAUUAAGUUCAAAAAUAUUAUCAUUUUCCUCAUCCUCAUUUUCAUUUUGUAGAUUGAUGGAUGAAAGCAAUGAUUAUUUUUUCUUUUGAAUUGUAACUCUUGUAUUCUUACCUUGAAUCAAGUGUUUCUUUAAAAGCUCUCUUAUAUCUCUUGGAGCUGCCUGACAUGCCUCUACUUGUCCUGCUACAUGUCCAAUAUGUUGUUUCAUCCUUGUAAUUCCUCCGUGUACAAUUUUAGCACAAUAAUUACACUUUGCAACCUUUCUAUCAUUACCAACUGGAGUAGCCUGAUCCCAAUCAAUGUCUUGAUUUGGAGCCAUUUUAUACUAUCCCUAUGUUGGUUAAAUAAUCAUAGAUGUGAUGUUAAACAUAUCAAUAUGCAUUAUUUAGAUAAUAAUAAAAUUAUUUUUAUUAUCUAAAUAUAUUAAAUUUUUUUCUAAUCAAGUUUAAUUAUGCAAGGUAAUAUGCAUUAUUUAGAUUAUAAUAAAAUUAUUUUUUAUUAUCUAAAUAUAUUAAAUUUUUUCUAAUCAAGUUUAGUUAUGUAGGUAAUAUGCAUUAUUUAGAUAAUAAUAAAAUUAUUUUUAUUAUCUAAAUAUAUUAAAAAAUAUAUUUUUUCUAAUCAAGUUCAAUUAUUUGCAUUAUUUAGCUAAUAAUAAUUUUUUUAUUAUCUAAAUAUAUUAAAUUUUUUCUAAUCAAGUUUAAUUAUGCAAGGUAAUUUAUACUUUGACAAUUUGCCCAAUUCAAUUUUUUGUUUAACUAACUAGAACUUUUAAGUAAACUCUUUUUUUUAUUUUUUCUAUUUAAUAUACCUAAACUCAUUUUAACCAACAUAACUGAGAUACAUGAAAAUAAAUAAAUUACAUUUAUGAUCAUUAAAAUGUAUCCAAAUAAUCAUUGCAUAUUUUCUAACUAAAAUUUAGAUAAGAGACUACUAAUACAAAUUAAUCAUAUACUAAAUAAUAUGUAAAAGGUGUCAAAAUGCAUUACUUAAAUUUACAAAUAUCUAAAUAUCAUAUCUAAAUGCUAAAUUAAAAAAAAUUAAAAUUGACAAGUUAUUUUGAAAGAAGAUGCGGACCUUUUUGCUGAUGAUGCUUGAGUUUAAGAUUAGGAGCCUAAUCUCUUAAUUACUUGGGUCAAAGUUGGACUUUAUGUGCUUCUAAUUUUUCUUUCAAUUUUUUUCCCUAUCGCUGGCUCCAGUACCAAAGCCCACAUUCUCCAUAGUUUAGUGCAGCCGCAGCUCCUAGGUUUAGCCGUGUGUUCCUCUCAUUCUUCUCUUCAUUUUUUUUCCAAUUUCCCUUUUGCAAUUUUUUCACCUCUUUCACGGUCAGAUAAUGAAGAAAUUGAAGAGCCCCUUCAGCUGCAGAAUUAGCUAGCCAUCACCUUUAUUCUUUCUUUCGCUUUCCCUUUCCCGCUGUUGUUUUCUUCCCCACCUGCCGUCACCUCUGUUUUGAGCCGCAACCGGACGAUGAAGAAAUUGAAGAGCCGUUCAGCUUGUUUCUCCAAAUAAUCACUCCAGAAUCUGGAGUGAAGCUCAACAAGUAGUGAUGGAUCACGCAGAGAUUGCUGGUAUGGUUCUCCCCUUAUCCCCACUUUCCCCUAAAUCUUGUUUUUGUGGCUGAAAAAGGAAACAAGAAAGCAUGGGAAAGACUCUGCAAUAGCCGUAUAGCUGUGGUGCACAUCCCUUUGUAGUUGUAAGACAAUAAUUUACUUAUAUAAUUGCACUUCUGUGGCCUUUUGUUCUCUGUUCGUUUUUUGUUUGGUUUUGUUAAAGGCUCUGCAACAGCUGUAUAGCUAUGGUGCACAGCCUUUUGUGGCCUUUCAUUUUCUGUUCCUUUUUCAUUUGGUUUGGCUUCCCAAUUGCUGUUUAUGAUUUUGACCGGUACAUAUCCAAGUCAAAUCCGAGAAUUUGGCCGUUAUCUUGCUACACAGUUCUAACUCGGACGAUAUCGGCUGAUUCGGAACGAUUCAAAUCGGAUAUGGUAUAAUCGACGUUUCGGAUAUCGGUAUCGGAAUGGCACCUGCCGUUCCGGUUACGACUCGGGCGAGUCAUCUCAGACUUGGCCUAGUUGGCGAACCAUGGUUGCAACAUAUGAUCUUGGCUGAUAGAAACUGUACCCGAUUCACAAAGGCAAGAUCAUGAGUUUUCAAUUAUCUCUUUCUCUAAACACAGUGAUGAUAUAACAAUUGAAGAAAUUUCACCCAGCUGAAGGUGCAUCAAUGCUUUAUGCUUUUGAGCUAACUUUCUGAGAGUAUGAUGAGGUUGGCAAACAAUCAAACGAUGCAUAUUUCCAACAAUAGGUAGCUUUGAUGGAGAAGGGACAGCUUCUUUGCUGCUUUGGAUUACUUCCAUCGCUUUCCUAUACCUACAAUAAAGGCAAGAAAUAGGGAAAAAGCAAAGAAGUUAAAGGGAAGUUCCAUUGCAAGGGAUUCUCUGUGCUCUAGUUACAUUGCCACCCCUUUUAUUAACCUGAUUGCUAUCGAUUUUAAUACUUAUAAUUGUUUUUAGAUUUUGAUACAACACGCCUUGAUUUAUAUCGAUUAGUUAGAGAGUAUUGAGUCUGAUGAGCCUAUUAUGAUAAUGGUUAAAUCAGAAUCAUAUUCCGAAGGCCAAUCAAAUCUUUGUCUAAUCAUAUAUUCCUCUGAUCAGAUGCUAUUUGUCACCUUCAUAUAUGGGACAAUUAUCCAUACUGAUCCUAAAUUGAGGAGUUUAAAAAUGUACCUCAAAUCCCAUAGUAAACGAACAAAUGUUCAAUAACAUUAGCUAAGUACUAAUUGAAAAUUUCAUAUACGUAGUGUAGCUAUCACCAUUGAUUAUCCCUUUGUUGCUUAUUACAAACUAUGUUUGCUUGACUUGCAUGCACAAUAGUCACUGGCACAUUUGAUUUCUUCUUUUUUUUUCUUUUUCUUAAGAAGCUACUAUUUCAGACUGUAGUUUAUUUCUUUAUAGAACUUCAAAAAUUUGCAAUCAGUAAUCAUACAAGACUUCUAUAACUAUUUUACUGCUCCUAAUAGGGCUGCUGGCCAAUCGAACUACUCGCAAGUAGCUUGUAAGUGGUCUGAUCAAAUGCUUAGCUCAAACUCGAUUUGACCGAAUUCAAGCUCAAGCUCGAGUAUCUUGAUGCAUAUACCAAGUUGAGUUCGAGUCUCCAUUUGUGCUACUUGAGUGCUCGUCAAGUAGCUUGAUUAUCAGUAUAUUAUUUAUAUUAUAUUUUUAUUUUAGUUAUGAAAUGACUAGUAAGGAUUUAUAUUUUAGAUGAUUUAUCAUAAGUGUUGUCUACUCAAAAAAAUUCAUAAAUGCAAAAAAUGUAAUAUUGUAAAACUAAAAAACAGAUGAGGAUUUUAGAUAAUAUACCAUAAAUUUUUUAGCCUUUUUUUUUUUUUUGAGUUUUUCAAGUUUUAUUUUGAGCGUUGGAGCUUGUUAAGGCUCGCGACUAACGAGCCAAACUCAAAUUUGGAAAUACAUAUUGCUGAAUCGAGUUGAAUUACAUAAUUGUCUACUCAUUCGAGUUGAGGUUGAGUUCGAGUUUGAUUAUAGUACUAUUCGAACUCGACUUGAUUCGUUAACACCCCUAGUUCCUGAUGCAUUAGUUGCAAUUUUUGUCAUAGGUACGUCCAAAAUGAUAACAAAUUUUAGUUCUCUAACAUUUUUUGCUCAGAUUCAGGCCAAUACACAAGCAUCGUAUUUUAGCUGAAGACCACUCAAAUCUUUGUCUAAUCAUAUAUUCCUCUGAUCAGAUGCUAUUUGUCACCUUCAUAUAUGUGGGACAAUUAUCCAUACUGAACCGAAAUUGAGGAGUUUCAAAAUGUACCUCAAAUUCCAUGGUAAACGAACAAAUGUUCAAUAACAUUAGCUAAGUAAUAAUUGAAAAUUUCAUAUAUGUAGUGUAGCUAUCACCAUUGAUUAUGCCUUAGUUGCUUAUUACGAACUAUGUUUGCUUGACUUGCAUGCACAAUAGUCACUGGCACAUUUGAUUUCUUCUUUUUUUUUGUCUUUUUCUUAAGAAGCUACUAUUCCAGACUGCAGUCUAUUUCAUUAUAGAACUUCAAAAAUUUGCUAUCAGUAAUUAUACAAAACUUCUAUAACUAUUUUACAGUUCCUAAUAGGGCUGCUGGCAAGUUGAACUGCUCGCAAGUAGCUUGCAAGUGGCCCGGUCAAAUGCUCAGCUCGAACUCAAUUUGACCGAGUUCAAGUUUGAGCUCGAGUAUCUUGAUACAUAUAUCAAGUCGAGUUCGAGCCUCCAUUUAUCUUGAUGCAUAUACCAAGUCGAGUUCAAGCCUCCGUUUGUGCUACUUGAGUGCUCGCAAUGUAGCUUGAUUAUCAGUAUAUUAUUUAUAUUAUAUGUUAUUUUAAUUAUGAAAUGACUAGUAAGGAUUUAUGUUUUAGAUAAUUUAUCAUAAAUAUUGUCUACUCAAUAAAAUUCAUAAAUGGAAAAAAUGUAAUAUGGUAAAAACAAAAAAGCAAAUGAGGAUUUUAGAUAAUUUACCAUAAAUUUUUGAGCCUUUUUUUGAGCCCUGGAGCUUGUUAAGGCUCGCGACUAACGAGUCGAGCUCAAAUUUGGAAAUACAUAUUAUUCGAGUCAAAUUACAUAACUUUCUACUCGUUCGAGUCGAGGUCGAGUUCGAGUAGGCUUGUGUAGGACUGAGUUCGAACUUGAUUAUAGCACUAUUUGAACUCGACUCGACUCGUUAACACCCUAGUUCUUGACGCAUUAGUUGUAAUUUUUGUCAUAGGCAGGGCUAAAAUGAUAAGAAAUUUUAGUUCUCUAACAUUUCUUCUGAGAUUCAGGCCAAUACAUAAGCAUCGCAUUUAGCUGAUGAGAUCAUUACAACUGGCUCGGUUAAAAUAUUUGGCCUGUGUAGAACAACUACAAGCAGUCAUCCUACAUAUGUAAAAAUGGAAUUCUGCCUGAUACCAUUUAUGAGGUGAAUAUAAGUUGGACAGAAAAUGUGAUUUUGACUAUUAUUUCUUUAGUUGAAAGGUUACUCUGCUUUUACUCAUUUCUGUCAUUACUAGUUUGGGAGGACUUGCAAUGUACUUCUUAUGUGUUUUCUCAUUGUCACAGUUUUUCGUAUAUACUUUUUCUUAUCAACAUUGAUAAGAAAAGGGAAGAACCGUUUAGCUAUGUAAUGUCUUCUUUAAGUGUGUCUAGCUGAUUGGUAAUUUAGAUAAAAGCUACAAGCAUUGCUACACUAUAAUAAACUAGUACUGCAAAACAAAAACUACAUGAUAUUGAAUAACAAAUGGAAAUAUUAUUAGCAAAGUCAUAGCUAGGUAGGUUUUUCACUUGUUGCAAAUCAUUUCUUUACUAAUUGUUGGUACUGGUCUAGUAGUAUAGACGAUCUUAAAAAAUUACUGUAUGCAGCUGAAAAAUAUAUUGGUAAAUGAACUAACUUGAAUGUAUACCAACAUGAUUGGAUACAUCCUCACAGGAUAUGUUAUUUGUCUCUAUAAAUAAACACCAAUUACAUUGCAAGACACAAUUGCAGCAAAGCACUAUUACGGAUCUAUUAGUAAACAGUACCUCAACUCUCUAAGCAUUCUUUCUCUUCCAAAAACUCUGUAAAAUUAUAGAUUUGCAUACCUAACCUAAUUACUUUAAAUUUGAACCUUAAAAAUUGAAUCCUUUUUACCAUAAUAAUAUCAAGAGCUAGCACACAAAAGUAACACCGUGAUUCUUUCAUAUCGGGGGUUCAAAUGUAACCAAUUAUGUUGGUCUUUUUGCACCAAUGUUUGUUGUGCGAUAGUGAAUAAGGUCACCUUCUUGACUGAUUUGUUUAUCAAGCAUUUCCUCUCAUUUGCUUAUCUCUCUAUCUAUCCAAAUAUUACUGAAUCUCUUAAGUUACCAUAGCUCUAGCUAAAACUCACGAAGAAAGAGUAUGGAGAAAUCAAUGUUGUUGUUGCCCUUCUUGUUGGUAUGUUGAGGGUGUAGAGCAAAAGAAGGUGCGGAAGUGAUUUCUCAAUAUUUAUGUGCAAUGAUCAAAUUAGGUUGGUGAGUUUUAGUCAAAUAAGUCAAUGAUUUUAGCUUUUUUAGCAAUGAUACGAAGGAGGAUGAAAUUCGAACUCUCAUAUUGUAACAAAGCAGUUCUCUUAUCCGAUGACUAAUGCUAACCAUAAUACUACACUAAUAUUUUGGUUACGUAUUUUAUGUUAUUACUCUGGAAAUUAAUUUGACUCUGAAUUUAUUCCUUCCUAAUUCAACAAUUUUAAUUACUUUGAAUAUCCCAUUAAUUAUCUACAAAUUAAUAGGACAACUAUUCAAAUAAAUUAUUAUUCAACUACUUACAUAUUCGACAUCCCUGGAAAAUACCAGAGUACCAUUUAUAUACUGUAGUUCUUUCUAAUAAAGUUUAUAUUGAAGCAUUAUCAUUCUUUUUUUCUCAAAAUUUGAAUCAAUUAAUACAAAUUAGUAAUUGCAAAAAGAAUUUCCUUUAAGCAAAAAUUGAUAAGGAUGACAAGAUUAAUAGGACAAAAUAGAGUUAUUUCAUCGUGAGAAUGUGUGCACUAAAAGAAAAGAAAUUGGACCAUGUAUUCAAAGUUUUAGAAUGACAAAACCAAAAACUAAAA